rnacentral:lncRNA from 1 species
UUUUUUUUUUUUUUUGAAUAUGGUUAUGUUUAUUUCUUCUCAUUCAUCUCUUUUACACAAAAACCACCUUUUGCAUAACUAAGAAUAUCAUAUUAUAAAAUUCACCUCUUGAAUUUUUAAAAAUAAAAGUAACUAAAACAUGUUAAUACUUAUAAAGAUUAGAUCUUGAACUUUUUGGUCCAGGAAUCCUAGAAAAGAUGAAGUGGAUAUUGUGUUAUCUAUUGCUAGAAAUUGAUCAAAUUGGAGAUUAGCAUUUGAAAAUGAAACUAUGUAAUUGUUUUUAAAUAUCUAUUUUCUAGUCAUUCUGUUCAUUGUACAAGUAAAAUUGAUGUUAGAAUAGAAAAAUUUUGCUGGUUGAGGGAUGAAUCAAGAAAAAUAUUUAAGUUGUUACCUCAAAUAAUGCAAUUUACUCUCUUUUUUUUCCCUUGUCAUUUAUGGAUUCUCCAUUUCCAGGCAUGGACUGGACAUCACCAUGUAUCCUAUAUAUCAAUCACAUUUAAGCAUCACACCACUCUCUCAUUCUGCCACUUUCAACCAAACACAUAGGAUUGCUCCCCCUAUCACAAACACACAAUAUUCCUCAAUCAUUUCAAUUAUCUUUGAUUUAUGUAUAAUUCUAAAUUACGUUGUUAUUUUUCACUUCUCAAACAUAUUUUACCUUUGAAAAUUCGAACUCCAAAGAUUACUCUCUUAGUCUGUCUGAAUGGAGACAGUCUUAAUUACUAAAUGGGUUCUUAUUGGUUGAAGGGUGUAAAUUCUUCAUAGAAAGGGCUAAUUCCAUUUAAUAUUUCCAUGGAACAUGUUAUACCAACUAUACUUAUCUUUUUCUCUAUGUUAACUUUUUCUAGAAAUUUGCUGCAGGAAUGUGGAUUUACUCCCUCAAUCAUCAGCUAUGGAUGUCUUAUUAAUCUUUAUGCUAAGGCAAGGAUUUUUAAUUUUUAUUCAAUGAUUCUUUUCCUUUGUAUGCACUCCCCCAAACCCCCCUUGUACGGUGUAUUCCUCUUCUGUGUGUGUGUGUGUGUUUUGGGGAGUGUUGAAGUUCAGUGAAUCUCUUUGUUGAAUUGAAGCAUUUUAUCCUCCUUUGCCUGUCCUUUCCCUAGAAAGUAGUAAAAUAUAUGUUCAACUAGUUUUCUUUGUAGUCUCUGGAAAAAUCUGUAGCCCCUUCGUGCCUUGUCCCUGUUUUUCUGUGCCAGUUAAAUUCUAAAGAAAUCAGAUGGGAAUAGUACUACAAAUGAAUUAGGAGCUUGUGAUCUUUUCUAAGGAGGCAAACUGAAUUUGAACUAAAAUAUAGACUUGUUUCUUAUGAAACAUAACUCAAGUAUGCCGGUCAAGAGCAUAAGCCAACCCUUUAAAUUGCAUCUCUGCUAUUUUCACUUCUAAAAAAUUCCUGUCAAUAUGUCUCUGCUAUUUUCUAAAAUAUUCCUGUUAAUUAAGAUAUUCUCUGCUACUUUCACUUCUAAAGGUUUCAAUUUUUUCCCUGAAAUUGCAUCUCUAUUAUUGCGGAAAAAUGCUUAAAGACAUUAUUAUGAAAUACUCCUUCUAAUAUGUCUCUGAAUUAAUUACCUUCUUUAUGCAUUUUGUUUCCAGAUUGGAAAAGUCUCCAAAGCUUUAGAAGUUAGCAAAAUGAUGGAAUCUGCUGGUAUAAAGCAUAACAUGAAGACUUAUUCCAUGUUGAUCAAUGGAUAUUUGAAACUAAAAGAUUGGGCCAAUGCUUUUGCAAUUUUUGAGGAUCUGGUCAAAGAUGGUUUGAAGCCUGAUGUAGUACUAUAUAAUAAUAUCAUCCGGGCCUUUUGUGGGAUGGGUAACAUGGAUCGCGCAAUUCAUACUGUCAAGGAAAUGCAGAAGGAGAGGCAUCGACCUACUACACGGACAUUUAUGCCCAUUAUACAUGGUUUUGCAAGAGCUGGGGAAAUGAGAAGAGCGUUGGAAGUUUUUGAUAUGAUGAGGAGGAGUGGUUGCAUUCCAACUGUACACACUUUCAACGCUUUGAUUCUUGGCCUUACUGAGAAACGUCAGGUAUAAUGAUAUAUAAGAUACUGAGGUAGUUAAAUCCUGGAUUUUUCAUGUGCACUGGCAAGGCUAGAGGGAUGCUUAUAUCAUGAAUUUUUGUCACAUUAGUCGAGUAUUAAUUUUUUAUAAAAUAAUUAAUUCAAGUAUUUCAUCCCUGGGUAUUUCAUUUAGCCAAUGGAGUAACUGCAUGCAGAACAUUACCAGUUGGCUGGUAAAUUGUUUUACACAUGAUACUGGAAGGAGAAGUUUUAUAUUACUCCAUGCAUUGCUACAUUCAACUGUAUUCCGUUCCAUUCUUUUUCGUAUACAUGGGGAUUCAUAGGCAUUGGAUUAGGCAAUUCGGAGAGCCUUCUGCUAUUCCAUGAACCCUACUCUCCCACCCUCAAUCCUCAAACUGGAGGUUUCAAAAUUGGAAUUUCAAGUGAUAUCUAUCGUGGCAUUCAUUUUGAGACAUAUUGUCCUUUUGACUAAGAUCUAUUGAUAUUGCUAACUUAAGGUUUGAAUUAAUUUUUGCAGAUGGAAAAAGCUGUUGAAAUAUUGGAUGAGAUGACACUGGCUGGCAUAACUCCAAAUGAACACACAUACACAACCAUCAUGCACGGCUAUGCUUCAUUGGGUGAUACUGGAAAAGCCUUCGAGUAUUUUUCAAAAUUGAGAAAUGAGGGCCUUGAGCUAGACGUCUAUACAUAUGAAGCUCUUCUGAAAGCAUGCUGCAAGUCUGGGAGGAUGCAAAGUGCUCUAGCUGUCACAAAAGAGAUGGCUGCUCAAAAUAUUCCGAGAAACACCUUUGUCUACAACAUUCUAAUCGAUGGGUUUGGACUUUUACUAAACUUCUUCUCUCUAAUUUACUAGAACACAGUCUUAGUAUCCUCUUUUAGCCUGCUACUAGUCUUCACUUAUUUUGAGUAUCUAUAAUAUGAAAUGACUUCCAUCUUUUGUUUUCUUUCUUUUAGAUGGGCUAGGAGAGGUGAUGUUUGGGAGGCUGCUGACUUGAUACAGCAAAUGAAACAAGAAGGGGUUCAGCCUGAUAUCCAUACUUACACAUCUUUUAUAAAUGCGUGUUGCAAAGCUGGAGACAUGCUGGUAUGUAUCUUGGGGGGAUUUUACAAACUUUAGUAAGUUUUAUAGUCCGAAUAACACUUAGAGUGAGAUUCCGUUGUCAUUCCAUUGCUAAGGUGUAUUUACCCUAAAAUGCUUUAAUUUAUAGCUAUUUUAGGAUUUAAUCCGGUCUUUUCGGAUCAAGAUGAGUUAGUCUUAGAUGUCUUUAGUUUUUCAUCUCUUAUCAUCUCAAAUAGCAUACUUGACCAUGAAUUGGGUGGACUUGUGCCUUUGUAGGCUGUGGAAGUCAGAAGACCGUGAACUCAACUUCAUUUGUGUUCAAGUGCAUUCGCGCUAGAUAGAUUGCAUGAACCUUGUUAAUUUUAUUUUUGGCAUUAUUUUCCCUAAAACGAGCUUUCGAGUAUUUCCUGUCCAUUGAUGUUAAUAUUCUUUCAGCAGUAAAUUCUUACUCUGAUAUUUGUUUUUACCAGAGAGCAACAAAAACAAUUCAAGAAAUGGAUGCUAUUGGAAUAAAGCCAAAUGUUAAAACCUAUACCACACUUAUUCAUGGAUGGGCGCGUGCUUCUCUUCCGGAGAAGGCCUUGAAAUGCUUUGAAGAGAUGAAACUGGCCGGUUUGAAACCAGAUAAAGCCGUAUAUCAUUGUUUGAUGACAUCACUUCUAUCGAGGGCUACUGUUGCAGAGGCAUAUAUUUACUCGGGAGUGUUGUCUGUCUGUCGAGAGAUGAUCGUGUCUGGUUUGACUGUCGAUAUGGGAACUGCAGUUCACUGGUCGAGGUGUUUACGUAAGAUUGAGAGGUCAGGUGGAGAGCUUACAGAAGCUCUGCAGAAGACUUUCCCUCCUGAUUGGAAUUCAUACCAUACAAUUGCUGCAAAAUCUGAUCCCGAAACAGAUGAUGAGCCUGAAAGUGAUGACGAAGAUAACGAUGUAUAUCUUGAUAAUGUGACCGAUGGUGACAAUGAUCUUGAUGAUGAAGAUUUGAACAGAUUAUGGUAAUAAAUCAUGUUUUGCUACUAUUAGUUUAUGUAUUGUCAGCCAGGUCAUAUGCCUAUCCACUAUUGUUCCUAUCUUGAAAUUUUUCUUAGCUCACAUUUUGCUUGAGUUGAGAGAAAUUUUUUUUGUCAUAAAUUUAGAAAUGAAAUCAUGAAUUAGAAAAUGAUAAUCGUUCCCUCCAUUGCAUCUUUCAAAUGGUAUUUUUGCUCUUAUGCCCUUGGGGCUAUUAUCCUUAUAAUGCCCCAUCCUAUUUCUAAUCCAAACUUUUACUCCUAAGACAUUUACUUCUCACAUUUUGAUUUUAUUGCAAAAUAGUCUAUACCUCCAAAUUUUAGUUCUUAUUCUAACCAAUUAAUGAAUAAUUACUAAUGUUUACUCAUUGAUUACGAAUUAUAAAAUCAAACGGAAACCUCAGUUUAAUCUCAAAACAUUUCGGAUUACCUAUUCCAGCCUAUCUGCCUAAGUGUGAAAUCCAUCCUAAACCUUGUCAUCCAUGUAUGCACCAAGCACUUUCUUAAGGUUUAGGGCCGUGCUUAUACUUGACACUUUUCAUUGGUAUACCACCUAUAUCUGUGCUUAUAUUUGGAUGCUCAUAUCAAUUGGUCAUUAAAGAAAUGGGUCAACAACCAUGAGUGAAAUUUGUAGCUUCUAAGCUGAUUAAGUGAGCGUUUAUGAAUAUUGAACUCACUUAUAUUAUUAUAGGAUUUCAUGCAAGUUGUAAAUCAACACUUCAAUUACAUGGCAACUAGAAAUUACGUAAAAAUUGAACCAUUUUUAAAUAUAAAGGAACCUCUAAAGAUGAAACAUGGAAUUUCUUGUUAUUGGAUGCUUGUCUAUUAGAACAUCCAUGAUCGAUGCUACAUCUUCUAAUGUUAUUGUUGCUUCGCUACAUGGGAGAUGAAACGUAUGAUUUUUGAGUUUUCAUCAUUUAAUCAGAGUGAAUAUGAAUGAUGACACAAAAAUAAUUUUCUCAAUUUGUCCAGCGUGAUAGAAACUUACUUAUGUUAAUUGAGGAAUGAUUCUUUCGUCAGGUAAAUUUAUUCUCAUAUUAAUGUGACCUUGAGCCACAAGAGAAUAAUCUAAUGUUUAUAGAUUCUGAGCAAUAUGCCUUUCUUCAUAUCUCAAUAUACGAGUAGCCAUUACAAUAUGAUUGGAAAUUAGAAUUUAGAAAUUCUUAGAUACAAAUACGAUAGUAGUAGAGGAGGAAUAAGUUUAUUUUUACUUUGAUUUUUAAUUGAAUUAAGUAAAAAAUAACAAAAUGUUUUAUUAGUAACUUAUUAUAUACCCAUUCAGUUACAUAUUCUUUUAACAUUUUUUUCCUCCUAAUGUAUCUGAACUCUGGUCCUUUAUAUUUUAAAUUUAUUUCAAAACGAUCCCUUAUUAUUCCAAUAAAAUAUGUUGUUAAUAGUUAGACCCAAUUUGACAUUUACAUUUUUUUUGUCAAAAUGCUAAAUUAAUUAACCCUUAAUCUCACCAUUAAAAAAUACCCUUUAAUUUUCGUAAAAAAAAUAAAUACCCUUUAAUGUUGGUGAUAAGUUUUAAAUUAUCAUAAAUGAUUUAACAAGAGUUUGAAAGGAAAGAGAAACUAAAUAUAGCAAUAUAUUACAUAUAUAAUUUGGAGAACAACUUUAAUAUAAAAAUUAAAACUUACAUUAACAUUAAAGUAAACUCUAACAUUAUAUAUAUAUAGUUUGGAGAAUAACAUUAAAUUUCAACUUAAAACUCACCUAUAUAGAGCAAUAACUCACCUAUAUAGUUUGGAGAACAGCACAAAUUAAAAUAAACUACACAUUCCUUAGAGGGAUAAUUAUGUAUGAUUAAAGGUUUGACAAUUGGCACACUUAAGGUUGAUUUCACAUGCCGUCACAUAUAUUAAACAAUGAGAAUGACUCAUCACAGCAAGUGAUGAUUCUUUUGAUAUUGUGUUGUUGAAUUCAACUUCUUCACCAAAAGAAUCUUAUUGAUUUAGAAGCAUGCGUGACGUUACUCGAAGAAUCUUAACAAAAGAAGAAAAAAGGGUUAAAAACUGUUAAAUUUGACAUGAAUAAUCUACUAUGUAAAGAAUACAUAUAUGAGGAAUUUAAAUUGGCUAAUAGUUUAGCUCAUUAUGCUUUGCACUUUGAUUAAUGUUAGAGCAGUUCUUCAUAGUGUCAUUAGCACUAGAGAUAGGAGAAGUAUUGCUAGAUUGAACAUCAUCCAUAGAACUCUUGCUUAAUUUUAGAGAUUUCAGUGAUAUUAGAGAUUUCAGAGGCCACUGAUUAGAUUUAGGGAAAAAUAAUAGACUCUUUCAACUUUGUUUACUCUCAAUUUGUAGAGAAUUGGGCAGUGAGAUGACAUGGUUUUAUAGAUAAUAAUAAUAAUAAUAAUAAUAAUAAUAAUAAUAAUAAUAAUAGGGGUUAUUUGGUACACAAGUUACUCCAGAAGUGAGGUUAAGAUUUUGAUACAUGUCAUAUUUAUUCAUUUCUAGAAUUUUUAAAUACAACUUAAGUGCACAUGAUAAAAUCUCAACUCGGUUUGUGGAGUAAAAAUUUCCACCGGCAAUGUAUCAAAUAAUAAUAAUCAAGUUUAGUUCAAAAUUAAAAAUUUCUCAUAAAAAGAUUUUGAGAAUUUUCAAGUAGAAGUAAAUAAAAAAAAAACGAGCUUCAUUAAAGCAACUAUGGAAUUUAUAUUAGAUUAUAACACACCGACUUCAACAAGCAAAAAAAGUUAAUAAUUUUCUUGACAAAUGUGAGAUUAUUUAGGAAAAAAAAAGUUUAUAUUUAAUACACUAUCAAUAUAUAAAUUUGGGUGAAUACUUAGAACACUUGCGGUGCACUUUUUAAUUCCACAACCAGUGCAACCAAAAAUUGGCUACGAAACUGCCAAAUAGAUGCAGUCGACAAGAAGGCUGCAGUGCUGCUCAAGGCAGUGGUUGAAAUGGUGGAAUUCGAUUUAGGCGAAUUUGUCAAGCAUACUGAAAAGGUCCAUGGAAAAUACUUACUACCAUCUCCUUCCCUCGUUAAGUAGAACCCAAGGCUCAUUAGAGACACUAAGCAUAUUGAGAGAACUAUUGUUGAAUUGAAGUUCUCACCAAAAUGGCUCGAGGGAAAACACACUACCACUGACCCCAAAAUGCAACUAGAUGAAAUUGAGGAAGCAGAACAUUGAGAAUUAAACAACACUUAUCAUUCUAAUACUUUUUAACUAAUAAUUGUAAAUUAAAUUAUAAUUAUCAUAACUUUAGACAUCACAAAUCUGCAAAUCAAAAUUCAAACAGUUUUUUUUCCAAUCUCUGACACUCACCAUUAAAUCAACUUGGAUCUAGAGUAUAUUCUUCUACUCGUCGAUAAGUAUUGAUUCAUCGUACCGGUCGUUGAAUUGUCGCUUGGAAUUCAUUGGCGAAACUUUCAAAAAAAAAAAUUUAACAGCCCAGUGACUUAAAUUAAAACUUCUGAAUAGUUCAAUGACUUAAACUUUUUAAAAUUAAGUAACCAAAACGAAAAAUUACCUAUAGAUUAAUGACUAAUAGUAUAGUUUACCCAUUUUUAAAAUAGUUUUCCUUUGGUUUUUAAUUGAAUUAAGUAAAAACUAACAAAAUAUUUUAUUAGUAACUUAUUAGACACCCAAUGAGUUACAUAUUUUUUAACAUUUUUUCCUCCUAAUGUAUUUGGACUCUGGUCCUUUUUAUUUUAAAUUUAUUUUAAAAUGAUCCCUUAAUUUAACAAGAGUUUAGAAGGAAAGAGAAAAUACAUAGAGUAAUAUAUUGCAUUAAAAGAAACCAAACUACAUAUAUAGUUUGGACAACAACAUUAAACUUAACUUAAACUUAAAACCUAAAACAGCAAUAACUUAUGCAUAACAACAUUAAAAUUAAAAUUAAAGCCUAAGAGAGCAACAUCUUGCCUAUAUAGUUUGGAGGACAACAUUAAAAUUAAAAUAAACUAAACAUGCUUUGGUUUCUUGGGGGGAUUAUAAUGAAGUACAUCAAUAAGAUGAUCAGGGGUUUGGCAAUUGACACACUUAGGGUUGGUUUCACUUGUCAGCACAAAUACUAAACAACGGGUACAACCCAUCGCAACAAGUGGCGGUUCCUCCGGUGUUGCGUUGCUGAACUCAACUUCUUCACCAGAAGAGUCUUGUUGAUUCAGAAGCAUGCGUGACGUUUCCGAUAGCGAUGUUGAUGAGAUCUCCGAAGAUCGGUUAGUAGAUAAACGAUCUUUUGGGGGUUGACCUGUCGGAGUUAGCUCAACAUUCAAAUCUAUGCUUCUUCCGUUUUCUUCUUCGCCAGUUUCAGUCAAACUUCUCUUCCGAGCAACUCCCUGACGAGGUUCCUUAAAAAAAGAAAAAAAAAACACGGAAACAUAAAAAGUUGAUAAAUUGAAAUGAAUUUCUUUAUUAAGAGUAUCGUCAAAUUUCACUGGAUUUCAAUCAUUUACUCAGACUUCUCGAAGAAUCUUAACAAAAGAAGAAAGAGGGUUAAAAAUUGAUAAAUUGGACAUGAAUAAUCUACUAUAUAAAGAAUACAUAUAUAAGAAAUUUAAAUCGGCUAAUAGUUUACCUCAUUAUGCUUUGCACUUCGGUUAAUGUUAGAGCAAUUCUUCACAGUGACAUUAGCACUAGAGAUGAGAGAAGUAUUGCUAGAUCUAACAUCAUCCAUAGGACUCUCUUGCUUAAUUUCAGAGAUUUCAGAGGCCAUUGAUUGAAAUUAGAAAAGAAUAAUAGACUCUUUCAACUUUGAUUACUCACAAUUUAUAGAGAAUUGAGUAGUGAGAGGACAUAGUUUUAUAGAGAACAAUGAGUAGGUAAUAAUAAUAAUAAUAAUAAUAAUAAUAAUAAUAAUAAUAAUAAUAAUAAUAAGGGUAAUUAUUUUGUACAGCGACGAAGAUUUGUAACGCAUAAGUAAGGUUGAGAUUUUGACAUCUCUUAUUUUUUUUAAAAUUUUUUAAAUGCAAUUUAAGUACAGAGGCAAAAUUUCAAUAUUGUGAAGUUAAAAUUUUUCAUCGUCAAUGUACCAAAUAAUUAUAGUAAUCAAGUUUAUAGUUCAAAAUUGUAAAUUUCCCAUAAAAGUUUUUUUUUUGGAAUUUGCAAGUAAAAGUAAAUAAGAAAAGGAGUUCCAUUAAAAAUAACUAUGAAAUUUAUAUUAGAUUAUAAUACACCAACUUUGGCAAAGAAAAAAAAUUAAUGAAUUUUUUUUAACAAAUGUGAGAAAAUUUUUGUAUUUAAUAUACAUUAAUAAAUAAAUUUAUACACCCAAUUUUUAAGCACAUGAUGACAUCUUUAAAAUAUCCUUAACACCUCAUUGAAAAAACACCUUCAAAAUAAAUACAAAUAGUUAAACUUUUAAUAGGUGACAUUAUGUAGUUAAUUUUUUCGUGUAUAUAUUUUGGAUUAGUAUUUGGUAUACUAGCAUUGUAUUUUUUUAUUUUACAAGCAGUUUUUAAAAAUUAUCACGUGUCUUUUUAAAACAUUUCUUUUUAAUAUUUUAUUAUGCAUCUAUAGGACACUUGUCAACCCUCUAAUUUUACUUGUGGAGUCUAGAAACUCCACUGACAAUAUACUAAAUAUUUUCCCAUAUAUUUAUACACUAACAAUAUAUUAAAUCUAUACUACUAUAAUGUUUCUAAGUGUAUUGGUUUGAUAAAAUAAUCAGACACUAACCUAGUUAGAAAAAAAAACUGUAAAUUAUUUUAUAAAAAAGAAAAUAAAUAUUAUUAUUGAUAUUUUUAAAUUUUCAUAUUUUUACAUAAAAUCCUUAAAUAAAAAAAAACUACUUAAAAUUUCCAAAAGUUCAAAAAUUGAACUCGCAAUUAUAAAAUUAUAUUGUUUGUUUAAAUAUUUUACUUCCAACUACAUCGUGAAUGUGACAUAUCUCUUUGUUAUAGAGAUUAGGUCAAAUUAGUACCUCUAUUAUUAAAUAGAUAUCAAUUGAAUCGUUGUACUUUUAAAAAGGAUAAAAUAAUGUCAAAUUAUAACAGAGUUAACAUUUACUAUGUAAAAACUAAUAUGAAAAAUAUUCAUUUCAUUUGUAGUUUAACUCCGCAAAAACAUAAAAGAGCUUUUAAAAUAAAACUUUGUUAAACAAUUCAAUGACUAAAUUAAUUUAUUUAAUAAUGGAGGGAUUAAUUUGAUAAGUCUUUAUAGUAAAAGAAUGUUCACCCAUAUGUGAUUUUUUCUAUCUUUUAAAAUAAAAUUACGAUAUCGAUUCGAUUCAUGAGAUUAGUUUAAUCAAAACAAAUUAUAUAAAGUAUUAGUAUAAUUGACAAAAGCAGAGAUCUCAGAUCUUAAAGGUCCGACUUCAAGCCUCCCAUCAGCAAUUAUAAUGUGUGAGUCUCCAUCCCCCUCCCACCAUCUACAAUUAUACCGUGUGGAUCUCCCUUCCACAUUGUGCAUAUGCCUUAUAUGAGUUUUGUCUAAAUAUUCAUCAGUUAUAUAUUAUAUUGAUUGAAUUUUACAUUAUAAUUGAUCGUUAUUUUUAUACUUGUAAUUUAAAAAAAUUAUACAUGAGAAGAAAGGGAAUAGAAACUGAAACAAUAUAAAGGGGACACGUGUGAAAUGAAAUCAGAGGUUUUUAUUAGCAUUAAUGUAUUUAAGGAAAAAUCCAAAAGGGAAUAUAUUAGUAACCGUUGUAAUUACACAAAGCGACAGAAAAACAGCAAAUUCCCAUUUGUGAAGGAUUAACGUCUUCUUUCCCCACCGUCACAAUGCCUUACUAUUCAAUGGACUGCAUUUAUUCUUUUUAAAAGGAAAGCGUUUCAAUCUUAUUACUAAAAAUUAAAAUAAAGAAAUUGAAAAAAAACUUAAGAGAUUACAAAUAAAUAAAAUUUUUGAAAAAUCAAAAUAUAAAUUUAUUAUUAUACUAAUUAAUAAUUUUCUAAAAAUUAAAGGACUACGUAAGUUAAAAAUUAAAGUUGUCCCUUUGCUAUCCCUCUAUCCCUAAUUAUUCAGGUGAAGUUCAAAUUUGAGAUAUUAAAGUUUCGAGAAUUUUAUAAUUAUAUACUUUUUAAAUAAUUUUUAAAUUUUAAAAAUAUUAGUUAAUUAUUGACGUGCAAAACUAACAAACGUUAACUUAAACCUAAAAUCAAAAUAUUUUCAAAUUUUAAAUCCAAUAUAAAUUUGAUGUAAUUUCCUUUUCUGGUCAAAAAAUAUUUAAACUGCAUAAUAAUUGAGCUUUUACUUUCUUUCCUAAUUAGCAGUUACCAUAAUAAAUACAUCUACACAGAACCAUUAAUUCAGUGCAACUUUUUUACUUUAUUUAGGCAUUAUCAUUCAUUUUUCUUCAUUUUCAUCACAAAUAAUUUACCAGUUUAUUUAUAAUUAGGAGAAUAAUGUGUUUUAAUGCAUUUAAAUCCAUAUCUUCCUACAUUGACAAUAAUACAUACACUAAUUGGGCUAAAACUAUAAUUGAGUUGCAACUUGAACCCAGCCCAUACCUAAAGCGUUGAACACCCUAACCAUCAAAUCAAUACAUGAGUUUGAUACUCAUUCAAUUUCAGUUACAAUAUAAUAAUAUUUAUAUUAAAUGACUUUAAAUGUGAUUUUAAUAAUGUGAUUCUCUCAUUAAUUACGAUUACAGUUACAACUUUUUAUUUGCAAUAAAUUAUUUACUAUAAUUGCUGUAAAACAUUUUGUUUUUAUUUCAACUUAGGUUAAAUCUCUUCAAUGAAUUUAAAAUUUGAAAUAAAUUUUUGUGGAUUGCAAAUCCUAAUUUUUUUCUAAAUAAUGCUUCUUGUUCAUUUUUUUAACUUUUAAUUUGAGAUUUUUCUUUUAAUUUGAGUUAAUGUAUAUUAAUAUUAUAACAAUAGUCCUUUUAAUUACUAUUUUUUUUCUAAUAUUAGCUUAUUUUCUUUUAUUGAGAUAUUAAUUCAUUUAUACGUUAUUUUUUUCCGCAUCAUUUUGAAAAAAAUUUGGAAAAGGGUGUUAUAAUCAAUGACGAAGUCAAGGGAGUUGGAGGGCCAUGCUUCCCUAAAUUAGAAAAUUUUCUAUUUAGACUCCUUUAUAAUUUAUAAAAAUUUAAAUUAGUAUUGAUAAAAUUACAUUUUAGCCUCUCAAAAUGAUAAAAAUUUGAUUUAAUCCUUUAAAAUUAUAAAGAUAUAGACUAUUAAAAUGGUGAAAUUACAUUUUUACUACGGUAAAAAUAUACAAUUUAAUUUUACCCUAAAAAAAAUAUCUAACUUUGCCCUCGAUUAUAAUGAAAAUUUCUUUGUUUUUUUUUUUUAAAUUUCAUUUCACGCUUAAAUGUUUCUUUUUUUUUUAAUAUUGAAAUAUUUAGAGUUUAAAUUAUUUUUAUUUUUAUUUUUAUUCAUAUUAGCUUUCUAAUAACAAAUUUUCAUUCGGUUUAAAUAGUGUGACCAUUAAUAUAGAAUAUUUAAUUUGUCGACUGAGUUUUAAUUCGGUCGGUAUUAAUAUUAUUUUUAGUAUUGAUAGAUUUGGGUUCAAGGGUUAUGGGUGAUUCUAUCAAAACUACAUCAAUAUAUAUAUUCACAUAAAAUAGGGAUAAAUAUCAAAAUUGUACAUGAAUUUUGGUCUAAUGUGUAAUGUUAUACAUAAACUUUGAUUUCGUUCAAUUUUAAACAUGAAAUUUUAAUUUGAUUCAGUUUUCAUAAAUCAUCAGCACCAUUAUUGAUGUAACACAAUUGUACAUUUAUAUGUUACAUACACAAAUAAUUAUAUUUAUUCAAUGUAAAAGUAAAUUGAUGUAUUUAUUUCUUUAAAUUUGUAUAAUUGAAUAAAAAAUUAAAAUUUCAAGUAUACAUUUAAACCGCAAUUAAAUAUUCAUGUGUAUAAUUACAUUAAAUCAAAGUUGAUAUAUCAAAUGGCGCAUUAAAUCAAAAUUUAUGAACAAUUUUGAGUUUUAUCCCAAUAAAAUAUCACAAUAGCUAGAAUAUAAUAUUUACUUACAUGAUUUUAAGUAGAUAGGAUUAGUUUAAACAAUCCUUUCAAAAAAAAAAAUAGUUUGAACGUUUUUGUACGAGUUAUUAUUUAUCUAUACUUAUAUUAAGUCCUUAAUUGAAUUGGUAUCAUAAAUCAAUCGGACACCAAUUCAGUUGGGAUAUCACUAAAAGAUUUACAAAUAUCAAACGAAUGAUAUUAAAUAAAUUUCAAAUAUGAAAUAUUCAUGCACCAACUGAUGCACAAUAUUUUGAUAAAAUUUUUUAUUAUUUAUUGCCAUUAUGGUAAAAAGUUAGAAAUUUUAUAUAUUUUUUAAUAUUAUUCAUGCAUUAGUUGGAGCACAAUGUUCGGGCUAGUGCAAGCCCAAUUAGACGAAAUGGAUUGGAAUUUUAACUGGUGUGAAAAAGGGAGUUGGUUGCACCAGUUUAUUAUUAGAACGAUACACAGACCAGAAAGAUUACAUUGAUUUAAACUCAAGUCACAUUAAUAUCAAACUUUUAAUUUUAUCAUUUCAAUCAAAGCGACAUUUAUUUUUUAAAUGAAUUUUUAUUAUAUAUAUUUGUUACAUAAUUUUUUUCCAUGAAUAUACUAUAAAUUUAGUAAUUAUAAUUAUUUUAUUGUUACGCACUUAAUUAGUAUCAAUUUAAUUGUUAUCUUAUAGAAUUUUGUUUUUAAUGUAAGUCUUAAUUCUGCUUAUAUGCAUCUAUACUAUUUUGGUUGAGUUAAUGUCACGAGUCAACCGAACACAAAUUCGAUUGAGAAAUGACUAAAUUACUCAUUCUUUUUACAAAGUAAUAAAUAUAAUUAUUAUGGUGUUUUUACCUUUUCUAUAUUAAAUAAAUCUAUAAAAAGAACCAAUUUUCAUUUUAUUAUCUAUGGAAGAAUUGAAAAUUAGAUUAAAAUUGUACGCACAAAUUUCAAGACAAAAUUAAGAUUUGAAAAUUAGGAAAAUAAAAAAAAUUUAUAAAAUUUUAGUUGAAUAAAUCCUUUGAUACUUCUCUACAAUGAAGUUUUGAUCCAAGGGUUAUUUAGACUUAAUUUUGGAUAGAUGCAAUCAACUUUAUAGGUCGUCAAGAUUUGAUAUUGAGAAUGGUUUGGAGGGUUAUUUGCUUGAGAUUGCUUGAGAAUUGAUCUAAAGGUCUUUGAGAUCUAAUCUUGGGUCGAUGGGGUUUGCUUUAAGGGACGUCAAGGCUUGAUUUUAAAGAACGAGUUUGACCUCUUUUGUGUUUGUUAUAUUAUACGUCGAUAAUGACAGUAGGAAUGAUUGCAAAGCAAUAAGAAAGAAAAAUAAGAACACGUAGAUUUUACGUGGAAAACUGUUAUCGAAAAAAAUAACGAGCAGAGGAGGAGAAAUUCACUAAUGUUGAAAAACAACAAUACAAGAGUUUUUUCACUACACACAUUUGAAGGGUUAAACAACCUUAUUAUAAUCAAUGUCUAAUAGAAGAAGUGUAAUCCUAUAUGAAUUCAACUUGUGCAUCAUGGCCUAGUUGAGUUUAGUGGUGGAUGGGGAUUUGUGGCGGGCUACGGCCUCGGUCCUUCUCCCCCACAGAUCCCCUAUUUUGCCUUUCUAUUUUAUUUCUUUAAUAAGUGAGUUGUACCUCAAACUUUCCAACCCGAAUCAAGCGGGAUUCAGGUCACACAACUCUAACAAUGUUGAUACAAUCAAAUUAGGAGAGCUUUGAUCCAAGGAUCUUCAAGACUUGAUAUUAGAUUAAUGAUUCCAUAUCAAGGACGUUCUAGACUUGAUCUUGAAGAACGAGUUUAGUCCCAUGUUUUUUAACUAAAUACGAUCAAAAGGCCAAUUUUUUAGAAUUGAAGCGGUGUUCUUCAAAUUUUAUUCAAGUUUCUUAAUUUUUUAUGAUUUUGGAGAAAGCUUUUAGGUUGCAUUUGUUUUAUUGAAAACAACUUUUCGAAAAUGAUUUAUAGAAAAUGGAUUGACUUUUUAGAAAAGUUGAUACUUUCUAGUGUUUGGAUAAUUCUACCUAAACUAUUUUAUGUUAUUUGACAAAUUUUCUUAAAUCAUUUUCUAAAAGUUAUUUUUUAAUAAAAGGCUAAAGGGGUAAAUAAGCCCCUGAACUUUGGCGAAAAAAACAAUUAAGCCCCUUGCAAAACACACAUUCAAUUAAGCCUUCAAACUCUCAAACUGCAUCAAUUAAGCCCAUUAACCAAUGUUUUUCAUCUUUGACGGUUACAACGCUGAUGUGCCGUUACAUGUCAUAAAUAGUUGUUGACGUGGUGAUGACACAUCAGCAAAAAUAAAAGAAAAUUCAAUUUUUUUUGUAAAAAAUAAAAGAAAUAUUUAAUUUUUUUUACUAGAAUGAAGUGGAUAAGGAAUGAGACUGGACAAAUAUAUUAUUUAUUUAUUUAUUUAGAGAUAAAUAACAAUAAAACAAGAACAUAAAUUGUUUACUUUAAAAAGUGAGCAAAUCUUAAAACUUAAAUUGCUUUCAAUGCCAAAAACUUUUUGCAUCUUGGAAUCAAUGGCAAAGCUAGGCAGGCUGGUAGGGGCCGACUCUCCUAAAAUAGAAAGUUUUUUAUUAGACUCAUUUAUAAUUUAUAAAAUUUUAAAUUAGUAAUGGUAAAAAUUAUAUUUUAUCCCCAAAAUGAUAAAAUUUUGAUUUAAUCCUUUAAAAUUAUAAAGAUAUAGGCUAUUAAAAUGAUGAAAUUACAUUUUUACUAUUAUAAAAUACAAUUUAAUUCCACCGCCCCAAAAAAUAAAAUUCUAACUUCGCUCCUGCUUUGAAUUGUCUUGACAAUAUUUGAAAGUUUCGAAAGUCGCCAUCAAGAAUUUUAUUUUUCACUUGGACAAAAUUAAAAUUGUAACCAAGUUGUCAAUGUACCUUCGUUUUCUAAAGGGAUCAAGUUAUGUUAUAGUUCAAUUCUUUUUUUAAUUUGUCAAUUUAAUCCUACACUUAGGAGUGAUACAACAAUUUAAGUUUAGAUAACAAAAUUAAAAUUAAAACUUAAGAGAUAAUUUAGAGAACAACAUUAAAAUUAAAAUUAAAAUUAAAACAUACAUUAAGAUUAAAAGAAACCAAACAUUAAAUAUAUAGUUUGGACAACAAAAUUAAACUUAAAACCUAAAACAACACUUAAAAUUAAAGCCUAAUAAAGCAACAUCUUGCUUAUAGAGGACAACAUUAAAAUUAAAAUAAACUAAACAUUCCUUGGUUUCUUAGGGGGGUUAUCAUGAAUUACAUCAACAAGAUAAUCAGAGGUUCGGCAUUUGGCACACUUAGGGUUAAUUUCACAUGCCAUCACAUACAUAAAACAACGAGAACAACCCAUCACAACAAGUGACGGUUCCUCCGAUGUUGUGUUGCUGAACUCACCUUCUUCACCAGAAGAAUCUUGUUGAUUCGGAAGCAUGCGUGACGUUGCCAUUGGUGAUGUCGAUGAGGUAUCCAAACAUUGGUUAGUAGAUAAACAAUCUUCCGGGGGUGAAUCUAUCAGAGUUAAUUCAAGAUUCAAAUCUAUGUUUCUUCCAUUUUCUUCUUCGCCAGUUUCAGUCAAACUUCUCUUUUCAUAAGUUCCCUGACGAUAUUCCUUAAAAAAGACAAAAAAAAAACACACAGAAACAUAAAAAGUUGAUAAAUUGAAAUGAAUUUCUUCAUUAAGAGUAUCGUCAGAUUUCGUCGAAUUUUAACCAUUUAUUCGGCCUUGCAUGGACUUACUUGGAAAAUCUUAACGAAAUAAGAAAAAGGGUUAAAAAUUGAUAAAUUUGACAUGAAUAAUCUACUAUAUAAAGAAUACAUAUAUUAUGAGGAAUUUAAAUUGGCUAAUAGUUUACCUCAUUAUGAUUUGCACUUUGAUUAAUGUUAGAGCAAUUCUUCAUAGUGUCAUUAGCACUAGAGAUGAGAGAAGAAUUGCUAGAUCUAACAUCAUCUAUAGAACUCUCUUCCAUAAUUUCAGAAAUUUUAGUGAUACCGGAGAUUUCAGAGGCCAUUGAUUGAAAUUAGAGAGGAAUAAUGGACUCUUUCAACUUUGUUUACUCUCGAUUUAUAGAGAAUUGGCUAGUGAGACUGUGAGAGGACAUGGUUUUAUAGAGAACAAUGAGUAGGUAAUAAUAAUAAUAAUAAUAAUAGAUUAUUUGGUACCUAAGUGUUAAAAACUUUUAACAAGUGAGGUUGAGAUUUUGGCAAAUAUCGUAUUUAUUUAUUUUUAAUUUUUUAAAUGUAGCUUAAGGACAUAUGGUAAAAUCUCAACUUCCCUUGUGGAGUUAAAAAUUUCCAUUACCAAUGUACAAAUAAUAAUAAGUUUAGUUCAAAAUUGAAAAUUUCCCAUAAAAUAAUUUUGAGAAUUUCUAGGUAAAAGUGAAUAAAAAAAAGUUUCAUUAAGACAACUAAGUAAUUUGUAUUAAAUUAUGAAACACCGAAUUUGGUAAAGGAAAAAAAACAAUUUUUUACUAUACUCUAUAUAUACUUGUCAUUAGCUCAACCAUUUGAGGAAGCAAUAUAAUGUUUAGAACUAUUUCUAGCUUUUUCCCAAAGCAUAAAUAGGAGAAUAAUGUGUUUCAGCGUACUCGAAUCCAUGUCCUUUUUUAUUGGCAACAAUGUUCGUGCCACUCGAAUUAAGACUCAAUCAACCAUUAUAAUAAUAUUUUUGAAUUUUCAUAUUUUUAUAUAAAAUCUUUAAAUAAAAAAAUAAAAAAACUACUUAAAGUAACCAAAAGUUCAAGAACUGAACUCACAAUUAAUGGAAUAGUUGAGACCUUGGACAAAACAACUUCAAUCACCACCAAAAACGUCCACUUUUCUUUUCUUGCUAAAGGAAACAUUCUUGCAUCAUCCUUAUUCACUAUUUAUGCUGCUCUUUAUGUCAUUGCAACCAAAAAUUGACUACCAAACAGUAAAAUAGAUGCAGUCAACAAGACGACUACGGUGCUACUCAAGGAAGUGGUUGAAAUGGUGGAAUUCGACUUAGGCCCUAUUGUUGAUGAAGAAAUUGUCAUGCAUACUGAAAAGGUCCAUGGAUGAUAGUUACUACCAUUUCCUUUCCUCAUCUUUCAAGUACUAUAUAAAGUCGAAUCCAAGGCUCGUUAGAGCCACUGAGCAUAUUAAGAGCACUAUUGCUGAAUUGAAGUUCUCUCCAAAAUGGCUUGAGGGAGAACACACUACCACUGACACUGAAAAGCUACUUUGAUGAAAUUUAGGAAGCAAAAACUACAGAUGAACCAGUUCAAGGGGCUCCUGAAUUGCCCACUACAACAAGCACUGCGUCCAAUCCUGCUGGUUUCAACAAGAUGAUGGUUCAUCAUCUCACUUGUUCCAUUGGCUCACACAAUCGCAUUAUUGCAAAGCUUCGAGUAGAUUUUUGCUCUUGUUUCUAUUUUUCUUUUGAACUCUAGUACUCAUGAACUUCGAACUUUUAUAAUGUUUGGAUGAUUUACUUUGGUGCAAAUUUUCUUAUCCGCAUCUUACUUAAAUAUAGUUAUAUGAUUAUUGAUCCAAAAUUUAGGCAAAGCAUUAAAAUGUUCUAAAUUAAGUUUUGUUGGAUUAAGGAUUCUACUAAAGCGGAGCCAUAGAUUUUUUGUUGAUUAACUUCGUGUCUUGUUUGGUUUUGUUCAAAAACUUAUCAAAGGGGAGAUUGUUGAAGCAAGUUUUUGAAGUGGUUCUAUGUGCCAAUGGAAGUUCCCACUUAUCAUGCUUGAAAGUUGGCAAUUUUUGAAACAAAAUCUUUGGGCUAUAUUCAAUGCUAAUAAUAUGAAAUAUUCAAGUCUAUCAAUGAAGAUCAACCAUUUAGAUAAACACAUCUUGAAGGUCAAACCGGAUCAAGCAAUCAGAUCCCUUGGAUUGUGGGGAACGGAUCGAGAUAUCAUUAAGACAUAUUUCUAAAUUGUCCCAUUUACUUUGGUAUUUAUUUGUAUAUAGUAUUUUUUUUAUUUUAUAAAUGUUGCUCUAUAAUUUUUGUACUAAGUAUUGAUGGCACUUAUGUUAUAGAGGAACAUUUUGGUGAGAGUGCAUUUGAGUUGUAAAUCCAGGUUGUCGUUUAGUUUUACAACAUAAGUUCUCGAGGAGAGAAUUUAAAGGUGACAGAUCAAGUCUUUAGAUGAAAAAGUGAGGUUGUUAUAAUAAGGUUUGAUAGGACUUAGAUCACCUGUUGCAUUGAGAUUAAAGACAAUGGAUGAGCUAGGCUUCAUAGACGUUGGGAAAUCAAAUUUUGUAAACAAUCACUGUCAUUUGUUUUUCUUGUGUUUUACGUGGUGUCAUCAUAAUUAGUGCCCAAUUCCAUUGUCACUUUCAUUCUAAUACUCUGUUUUUCUUACCAAUUAUCAACUAUUCGAUUCAACACAACAUUUUAAAUGCUUCAAGAAUUUUCAUAUAAAUUGCACUAUCACGAGCUAUAUAAAUAGACUAUAACAACAUCCAUAGAUAUAAAUUUAAUUUUCCCCAUAUUACUAAACUAAUAAGAUUUCUAAUCGUAAUAUAUACAUUAUAGGAGAAUGUGUCUUGCCAUAAUCAAUACUAGGCCUUUUCGAAAAGCCUUGUGUAACUAAUUGUGAUUUAUAUAUCUUACAAUUUCAUUUUUCUAAUUUCAUUUCACACAGAUACACAUUUAUUCCCAAUAAUUUUUACUCUUUCAACUAUUCAAAAUAUUGAUAGAAAUAACUUCAUGCUCUAAAAGUGAAUUUAAUUAUGCUUGAAUUGUUUCUUUUCAUUUCACCAAUCAUAUCUAUGUCUACACUCUUCAAUAGAUUUAAGUUCAAGAUCCACGGUGUUUUCCAUUAUUUCAACAGAAACAUUAUAUGAAAAAACAUUAUUAGCAACUGUUUCAUUUUGGUUUCAUCUUUUUCUUCAUAAUAACAUAAUUUAUCGAGAUCUCUUCGUUUUCAUUAUUUUCAACUACUCAUGUCCCUUAUGGGGUGCUAUCAUUAGUUAUAUCUUGGACCUCUUCAUAAUUACUCAUUUUUAUAAUAUGACCAUCUUAAAUAAUAUAUCUUUAAUUAUUUUUACCUAUCAUUAAUAAUUAAUGAUAAUUUCUCUUACUUAAUUAAAGGUAUUUAAUUUUUUAUUUUUUUGACACAAUGCCUAAAACUAUCCAUAGUCUCUUCCCAACCCAUAAAUAAGAGGAUAAUGUGCGCACUCAAACCCACAUCCUCCUACAUUGACAACAAUAUUCAUGUCAAUUAUUAAGUUAAAACUUAAUCAACUCUUACAAUAUUAUUUUAAAUUCAGUUACACUAUAAUAAUAUCUUACAUUAAAUUACUUUAAGGAUUCUCUCAUAUUAAUUACCUUAACAGUUACAACUUUUUUUUUACUAAAGUUGGGGUUGUUGAGUUGUAACAAGUUUGUUGUUAUCUAACUAAAGUUGGGGUUGUUGAGUUGUAACAAGUUUGUUGUUAUAAAACUCUUUAUUUUCAAUAAAUUUUUGGGUUUGAGACUAUUUUUUAUUUGAGUUUGUCUAUAUCAAUAUUAAAAUAAUAUUUCCGGGGUAAAAUCAGAAAAAUUUUUAGGAGAAACUUUUAAUAUAGUAAAAAUAUAAUUUUAUUAUUUUAAUAGUCUAUAUCUUUAUAAUUUUAAAAAGAUUAAAUUAAACUUUUAUCAUUUUAGCAGCCAAAAUGCAAAUCCUAAAUCUUCCUUUCAAUUACUAUUUUUACUUUUUUUUCCCCAAUAUUAGCUCAUUUUAUUUUAUUGAGAUAUUAACUCAUUUACAUAUUAUUCUUUUCACAUUAUUUUGACUAAAAAUUAGAAAACACGUUAUAAUCAUUUCUUUAUUUUUUGGGUUUUUAUUUUCAGGUAAUUUUUAAAAAUUCACAUAAUAAUUAAUGAAUUAAUGAAUAUACCUUUAAAAAAAUUUACAUAAUAAUUGAAUUUGAGUGUAACUAAUUUUUAUUACACGGAUUACACAGAUAUAAUAUAUUUGAGUAACUAUUAUAAUGGGUGAGUUCCACUGAACUGAAUUUAUACUUUCUCAUUCUGACGAGAAUUAGCGGUAAUUAUGCCAAUAAUUAGAAGCAAUUACCUGUUAUCCUAUGGCUUUCCAAACACACAUAUAUAAUUUAAGUUUAAGAAAAUAAUUUUUAUACAAGUUUAUAAAAGUUAUUUUUAUACAAUAAUAAAAAAAUUUAAUUUUAAGAUAUAUAUUUUUAAAAAUACAAUUAUAUAUUUAUUAUUAGAUAAAAACGUUGGAGUGCAAGUCUUGAUACUUGGGUGUCCAAGUAUCGAUAUAAAAUGAUGAAUGAGUCUCAAGAUUUAUUCAUUUAGUCUUGAGACUUAUGCCUAGAAAUAGAGAAAAUUACAUUUUAACUCAUGCAAUCAUACUUGUAAUGUACACUAACAUGAUAUGUAAUGAAUAAUAUUUAUAAAAAAUAAUAUAAAAACAAAUAAAAUUUUAAUUAAAAUUAUAAAAUAAAGAUAUUAAGAAUCAUAAUAUUUUAAGUUCAAAUAAUUUAUGUGUAUUUUUUUAUUUUUUAUAUAAAAUAUGUAAAAAAAUAAAAUACUUUCAAAAUAAUAUAAUAAAGUAACAAUAUUUUAACCAUUACUCAAUUAAAUUAAUUAAUGUAAAAUUAACUCAUAAUACAAACUCAAAUAUAAUCCCACAAGAAAAAUUCGUGGAAUUUGUAUAAACUCACUAUCAAUCAUUAUCCAAGCUAUUUCUUUUUCGUAAUUUCUUUUUUUUCUUUUUUAAUAAAUUAAAUAAAGAAUAAACUACGUUCACUCUAAAUUUUGUUCGUAAAUUUAAUUAUUUUAAUUAAGAUAAUUACUUGAAUUGAUCACUAACGUUAAAAGUUUCGUUAAUUCACUAAAAGAUUGCUAACAUGAUAAUUUUUUUUUACUUUUGACUAAAGCUAGGGACUUAUCUAUAAUAAGUCAAAAACACUUUUUUUUGUUAUUUGCAACAUAAGACCAAAGUUUGUAAGUUAUUUUUCUUUUUCCUUCUUGUUUGUGUCUUGGGAAAAGUAACAAAGGGAAAUGAUGGUAGCUUUGAGUAUUUUAAAACAACCCAACCCCUCUCUCAUGGAUGACUUAUUAAAAAAUUACAAAUUAAUUAUUGAACUAUUUAAAAGAUUUCAUUUGAGUUACUGAAUUAUUAAAAUUGUUAUUGUAUGACAUUCUCUAUUCACACCGCCUACACCAAUUGAACACUUUUCUUUCCCUUCUCUUUUACAACUCAUUUUUUCAUGAAACGACUUUAAAUAUUACGAAUAUGCAAAUCAAAAUUUAAAUAGUUUUCUUCUCCGAUCUUCGACACGGACUGUCAAAUUGACUUGUAUUUAAGAUAUGUUCUUCUACUCAUCGAUGAGUAUCAAUCCACUGUACCUAUCAUCGAAUCAUAGUUUGGAGCUUACUAGUCAGACUUUUCUUAAAAAAAUAAUAAUAACCCGAUGACUUAGAUAAAAACUUUUGAAUAGUUAAAUAAUUUAAACGAAAACUUUACUUUUGAAUAUUUCAAUAAUUAUAGGUUUCAACAAGUUUCUCUUGCAUGGGUGAAGUUUUGUACAUUCAUGUAUAUAGGAUAAGUUUAGAUUGGGUUAUUUUUCUAAACUCCAAAGCUCACUCGAAAUAUAGGAGUGUUUGAAUAAAAAUAUACGACUCAAAAAGUAGGUCUGAACAAAAAUUUAAAUUUGUUUAAAAUAUAGAUCAAGCUUAGAUUUCAACAUUUAAAACUUGAGCUCAGGCCAACCCAAUCAAUUUUAUACUUUUGAAAUAUAAUUUUAUAUAUUGUAUAAUUUAUAUCACAAAAUUAAAUAUAUAAUAAAUGAAAAACAUCUAAAAUAUGAAAUAUGAAAUUAUAAAUAAUAUAUUUUUUUAAAUAAUAAUAUUAGCGGACCUAAAAUGGAUAUAGGUUAAUCAUUUAUAAAUAUAAACAAACUUUGACAAAAUUUCAUACUCACAUUUAAGUCACAUCAAUUUGAGCAAACAUAAAGCCUAAGGGGCGAACUUGGCCCCUUAAAUGAAAAUUUUCUAUUUAAGUCCUCUAUAAUACAAUAAAAUUAAACAUUUGUUUAUGAUAAUAUUACACUUUGACUCUAAAAAAUGGAGAAAAUUAUGUUUAACCCCUUAAAAAUGAUGAAUAAUAAAUUAAUACAUUAUGUUUAAUCCCUUAAAAAAUUAUUAUUCAAUUCUGACUCCUAAAAAAUAUUUUGGCUUUGCCCCUGCAUACUAUUAUCAUACAUAGACCCAACGUGAACUAACCCGACCCAUUCCACGUGGAAAACUAGGGGCGAGUGUUUGAUCUAAUCGAAUCGAAUUAUAUCGAGUGUUAAAAUUUUAAGUUAGUCGAGUUAACGAGUCCUAUUUUAUCAUCUAAAUUUAAUUUGAAUUUUUUCGAAUCAAGUGAAAUUGUUCGAGUUAAAUUGAAAAAAUAUCAAAUUAAAAUCUUGUUACAGUAUAACUAAUUUCAUGAUAGAACAAAUAAUUUAAACUGUAUAUAUUUGAAAAUUUUUUCAAAGCAUAUUUGAAUUGAUAAUUUACUUAUUUAGGUCCUCAAAUUUAUUUUUUUGAAAAAAAAUUAAAAUUAUUUAGCUUUUUUACAUAGUCUUUAGAAUUUUUUUUAAUUUUAUUAUUUUAAAAAGUUAUGAAAUAUUGGAAAGAAAAUUAUAAAUAUUUUGAAAUUUUAAAAAUUAUUUUGUAAGUUUUGUUGAAAGAGACUAAUUUGUCAAUGAUCAAAUAAUUACACAAAUUUAUUAUUUGAAUUAUUCAAAUUAUUCUAUUUGUAAACUUCAACUUGACUCGAACUCGAAAAACUAAAUGACUUAUUUAAAUUAACUUGAAAAAUCGAACUCAAUCGAUUAACUCAAAAUUUUAAAAAAUAAAUUCAAUUUUUCGAGCAAAAUCAAAUUUUGCUUACCUUGGAAAACUAGUUUAUCACUGCUUUACUUAAUUUGCUCUUCCAUUGACGUAAAAUUUCCAAUUUACGAUGAAGCAUUAAAAUAAUGAUGAUGAUCACAUGAUAAUGUACAAAAUAUAGCUCAGAAUCUAAUCAGCCUAUUUCAAGACACCAACUGUACGAUAAGUUGCUGUCUACUCGAUUACAUUAUAUUAUGAUGUAUUUAUAUUGUAUUAUAAUUAAGGGAAAAAAGGUGAGCCAAAGUUCUUACACCUUGUGAUUUGGGUCUUCUUCACUUUCUGUUGAUUCUCUGAUCAUUUCACCAUUCUUUACACCUAAAAAUCCCUCUGCUUCAGCAUCAAAGCUAGCAUGAACACUGUACAAGACAUAUACGAGUACCGCUAGACCCGAAAAGAACCCGAACCGGACAUACGACAGUCCAUCCAAAGAUCCCAACAGAAAUAUAUUCAUGAAGAUUGAUAUAGAUGGUAGCCAAGGCAUGAAAGGUACACCCCAAAAUUCGGGUUUCCGCACUUGCGGUACCGUGUGACGAAAAAUUAGUGUUAUAGCUGUGGCGAGUCCGAUACAUAGGCCGAGUAGAAAGGACUUCGAACUCCCUGAGGGUGCAAAAUGCCACGACAGGGUGAAUAGAAGGGAAGUGAGGGUCAAUAGGCAUAGGAAGGAUAAUAUUGGCCACGGCUUUGUUAUCCCGAUAACGACAUAUCGCCUGUAGAUUACGGCGUUUGCGACCAUGUAAUAGACAAAGAGUGUGCCAAUGGAUAUGAGGUUCAAGAGGAUGUUUAGAUCAGUGAAAAGGGCAAUGGCAGCUGUGAAAAUUCCUGAAAAUGAAGAGGAAUUGUGAUAAUUAACAGCAAUAAAACAUUUUUUUGAUACUAGGCCUACUUAGUAAAAGUAUUAUGGAAGCUUUUAUAUUAAGAUUUAGAUUGUAUUUAGCUAAAAACUAAUAUUUAUAUAUUAGAUCAAAAAGUAAAUUAAUUUUUUAUGUUAAAAAUUUCAUACAUUUAUACCAUUAAAAACUUGUAUGGCUGACGAAAUAACCAGUGACACAUGAUGUGUCAUGCGUAUCUCAUACCAACAUAUAAAGAUCAGUUUUUAAUAGUAGAAAUUGUUAGAAUUUUUAACAAAAGCACUAAUUUACUCUUUAAUCUAACGUGUAUAAUGAUUAAUUUACCCAUUUUUUUGAUAGAGAGGAAAUACAACCUGACUCUUAAUACAAUAACUUUUAUGAUACAUUUAUCUGCCUAUCUCUAUUAAUCUAUCUCUAACCUUUAAAUUAAAGAAAAAUACACUAAAUUCAUAUCCUCUUUAUUAAUAAAAUAACAAUAAUAUCUGUUAAGCUAGGAGUCAAUACAUAAUAAACCUUACCAUUGUUGAUGAAAAUUGAGGAGCAAGGUCAUUAUCAAAUAUCAAUAAUGGGCUAAAAAUUGAAGACUUUUAUUACCUUAACAAUUAAAGCGUAUAUACUAAUUUAGAUUCAAAAUAAACCUUAAUUUAGUUCAAAAUAGAUAUGAAACAGGUUGUGUGAAAGGCCAUGCUGAAAUUAUCAAUCAAUAAUGUAGACCCAUGUGCCUUUUUCCCCCUAAAUAGUUAUGAAAGGGCUUUGUUAAUUAUUAAUAAUUUAUUCUUUUCUAUAUUUUAAUUCAGCCAGUUCGAUUUUUUACCUGAUCCUUACAACAUAUGUUACUUAGGAUAUAGGUUUGGUGUUGUGCUUAUAUUAACUGCAGAUCGUUACAAUAUCACGUUACAAUAUCUAUUUAGCUUACUUUUUAUUUUAUGCUAUAGUAUUAUUACAAUAUCUAAUCUUAUUGUCGUCGUUAUUUUUAUAUAAACCUUUCAUUCAAAUCCACCUUAAAUUUCAAAUUCACGAAAUUUUAAAAAUAAAAUUAUAAAUAUAUAUAUUUUUUAAAAGAAUUCUUUAAGUGACUGUGAGAUAAUUAUUAUUGAAAAAAACCGGAUUUUUUAGUCAUUUCGACGUAAAAAAAAGAGAGCAAGCAUGAGCAAAAACGGUUCAAGUGGGUUCAACUGCAACGGCCGAGGCCGAACUCUAAAAUCAAUGAAAAUGCACAUAGAGCCCAAUGAACCCUCCCUCAUCGGUAACAGUGCCCUAAUGAAAAGAAAUAUAUAUUCAGUAAAUAAAAAGAAAUACGUACCGAGAAAAGCGGAGGCAUUGAGAGGCGUAGAUGUUUUAGAAUGCACCCUGGCGAACCAUGCCGGGACCACGCUUGAACGUCCAAUGACGCACAUGUACCUAGCCUGGCCCAACAUCGCCACCAGCAACGACGUGGAUAUCCCGAAACUGGCCCCCACUCCGAUCACCUUCGACACCCACUCCCACCUCCCACUGAACGCCGCCGCAAAUGGCGCCUCUACAUCGAUCUGCGUGCUUGGCAAUUAGUUGACCAAAUGAUACACAACCAAAACAUGAACAAAAAGUUAGGAAGUACUACCAUGUCGUAAGGGAGGAGCAUGGACAUGGAAGCGGCCAUGAGACAAUACAGAAUGGUGACGAUAACGACGGAGCCUGUUACUCCAAUGGGAAUGUCUUUGAUCGGGUACCUUACUUCCUCAGCCAUGGUGGAUACGGCGUCGUAUCCAAUGUAACUGAAGUAAACCAUGGCGGCACCAUUGAAGACACCGGAAGGUCCGUAGGGAAAGAAACCGGAAGGGCUGUUUGGGUUCAUUGGACGAGUGAAAUUGUUCCAAUCCCCUUUCCAAAAACCCAUUAAUACUACAAAGAUUAUGAAAAGGAUAUGUAAUGUGGUGAGUAUCAUGUUCAGUAUUGAACUUUCCCUUGUACUGUAACAGAUUAUGAGAGUGACGGUUAAUACGACGGCGACGGCCAACAAGUCAAUUUCGUUGAACCCUUUUGGGAGAGCCGCAGCUGUAAACCGCCAUUUUGCGGUGGGUAUACCGAUUGCGGCACUUAAAUAAGAGGUGAAGCCUCUAGCAACGGCGGCGUUUGACAUUACGUAUUCCAUUAUCAGAUUGGCUCCGGUUAAAAACGCUGCGAACUCACCGAAUGUGAUACGUAGGUAACUAAAGGCGCCGCCCGCGACGGGCAUAUGGACAGCGAACUCAGUGUAGCAGAAAGCGGAAAGGAGAGCACAAAGACCAGCAAUGGCGUAAGAGAUUAAGAUUGCAGGGCCAGCAUAGAGACGACUAGCUCUUCCGGUAGUGACGAAAACACCAGCUCCGACCAUACCUCCUAUUCCAAGACCAAUUAAGUCGUACCAUCGGAGGGACUUGUGCAUAUUGGAGCCGGAACGGGACUUGACCCAACUUAACUCUUCAUAUGAGGAAGAAACAGAGGGUGCCCGAUGAGCGAAACGAGAUGGAGUUUGAGCCAAGGCCCUGAGGUAAGACCGGAAAGUAGAGAAAGAGGACGGCGGGGACUCCAUUGGAAGGUGGAGGAUGAGGUUUAGCUUGUGAAGUGUAGGGAGAGUUAUGGCGUUUGGGUUGGUUGCAUUUGACGAUUUAUGGAGACAAUAGAGAAAAGAUUAAGGAGCCAGUUUUGGAGUAUUUUUCCAUUAGAAAGGUUUUAGUUUCACUUGUAGUUCCUUCCUUGUAUUCGAAUUGUCUGAUCCUUAGAAAACAUCACUCUGCAACUAAUUAAAAUAAGGAUUUCAAAAUCCAAUCCUCCUUGAAACCGAUUAUAUUCAAUUUGAUUAUUUUAACUCGAUUGAAUAAAUUGUUUUAAAAAUAUGUUAAAAAUAAAAAAAAAAAACUAAUUUAAUUAGUUUGAGUAGUCUCCAGACAUAAUUGUUGUAAGCUACAUUAAAUGCGUCAAAUAAAUUCUUGUAAUGACUAGAAACUGUGGAAAUUUUUUUUAAUUUGAACACGAUUUUCUUUCAUGGCAUAAUUUUUUUUUUUGAAAAUUAAGUCGUUUUGUGAUAUUUAUAACAAUAAAUUUUCUAAUAAAGUGCGAGACAGAUCCUAAAUGCUCAUUGCUUUCAACCGAGCGACAUUCUCCGCUAUUCUUGUACCACGAAUCGCUUCAUGUGUGGACUCGAACAAUCACGAAAUAAAAGCAGAACUAGAAAUAAUUUUCUUACUUUCACUAGAAAAGUAAAUCUCUCUCUUUAUUAUAUAAACGGGUAGAAUUGCUAUUCACGUAAAAUAAAUUUUUUUACUAUUUUAUUUUUUAGGUAGAAUAACAAUAUUGAAAACUUUUUUGUAAAUAGAUAUACUAGUGUAAUCUAUUUAAAAGUAUAGAUUGAAAAAUCUUAAUUGAAUUAGUAGAAUAUAAAUAAUAAACUAGUUCUACUAGUAGAGAAGGACGUCUAACCCUUGUUAAUUAUACUAGGAUUGUCGCUCAUCAUGCUUGUCAUGAGGGAUUUCAGGUCUCUCCAAUGUGCUUCCUAGACUUUAAUCUAACCUAAUACAUUUUUUUUACUUUCCAAAAUAAAUAUUAUUUAUUAAUUUAAUUUAAAUUAUUUUUCAAUUAAAUAAUUUUCUCAAUUCAAUUCUAAUCACGUUAAAGUUAUGACAAUUUUAUCGUAAAAGAAUCUAUAAGAAAAUAUAUUUAAUUUCUAUAUUCAACUGAUUCCCAAUGAUGAUUAAUUUUAUUUUAUUUUUGAACUUUAAUUAUUUAAUUAAAUAAUAAUUAGAAAAACUUAAAUUAAUUCUCGGGUCAUUUUCAUACUUAGUGAAAAAUACUUUCAUUUUCGAUUAAUGUAACUCAUGAUUUCUCUAACCUUAUCAUUUCUAUUCAUUUAUAUUCAUUUGCUUCUAAAUACAAUUUAUUUCUAAUUUCAAUGAGCUAGUGGAGGGAUCGAUUGGAUAUAUAUAAUUAGCGCUCAAAUUAUUUAUAAUUAAGUUUCAGUUUUUCGUCUAUUAAUUAUAAACUAAUUUAAUCACAAAAUCAUAAAUAAUUUAACAAGAACUUAGAAGGAAAGAGAAAAUAAUGAGUAAUAUAUAACAUAUAAGAAAACUAAAAUUAAAACUUAAGAGAUAAUUUGGAGAACAACAUUAAAAUUAAAAUUAAAACUUAGAAACCAAACAUUGCAUAUAUAAAUUUGGCAACAACAUUAAACUUAAACAUAAAACCUAACCUAUAUAGUUAGGAGAACAACAUUAAACUUAAAAUAAACUAAAUAUUCCUUGAUUUCUUAAGGGGACUGAGGGAGGUCGCGAAAUAAGUCGAGAAGAUGAUCAGAGGUUUUGCAAUUGGCACACUUAGGGUUGAUUUCACAUGCCAUCACAUACAUUAAACAACAAGUACAAGCCAUGACAACAAGUGACGACCCUUCUGCUCUUGAGUAGCUGAACUCAAUUUCUUCACUAGAAGAGUCUUGUUGAUUCAGAAGCAUGUGUGACGUUUUCAAUAGCGAUGCCGAUGAGAUCUCCGGACAUUGGUUAGUAGAUAAAGGAUCUUUUGGGGGCAGAUCUAUCGAAGUUAACUCAGAAUUCAAAUCUACACUUUUUCCAUUUUCUUCUCCAAUGGUUUCAGUCAAACUUAUCUUCCGAACAUCUCCUUGAAGGUAAAAGUAAACUAAAUGCACCAUUACACUCUAUUUAAAAAUAAAAUUUAAUGUUAGUGAGAAGGUAUAAAAUUAUCAUAAAUAAAUUAUCAAGAGUUAAAAAGGAAAGAGAAAAUAAUUAGAGUAAUAUAUAACAUAUAGUUUGGAGAAGAAAACUAAAAUUAAAACUUAAGAGAUAAUUUGGAGAACAACAUUAAAAUUAAAAUUAAAACUUAGAAACCAAACAUUAAAUAUAUAGUUUGGAGAACAACAUUAAACUUUAAAUCAAAGCCUAACCUAUAUAGUUAGGAGAACAACAUUAAAAUUAAAAUAAACUAAACAUUCCUUGAUUUCUUAAAGGGAUUGAGGGGGUGGCGAAAUAAAUUAAGAAAAUGAUUAGAGGUCUUGCAAUUGGCAUACUUAGGGUUGAUUUCACAUGCCAUCACAUACAUUAAACAACGAGUAUGAGCCAUCACAACAAGUGACGGUCCCUCUACUCUUGAGUAGUUGAACUCAAUUUCAUCACCAGAAGAAUCUUGUUUAUUCAGAAGCAUGCGUGACGUUUCUGAUAGCGAUGCCGAUGAGAUCUCUGGACAAAAGGAUCUUUCGAAGGCAGACCUAUCAGAGUCAACUCAAAAUUCAAAUCUAUGCUUUUUCCAUUUUCUUCUCCGACGAUUUCAGUCAAACUUGUCUUCCAAGCAUCUCCUUGACAAUAUUCCUUCAAAAAGACAAAAAAAAACCCACAAAAACAUAAAAAAAACAUAAAAAGUUGAUAAAUUGAAACAAAUUUCUUUGUUAAGAGUAUCGUCAGAUUUUGCCCGAUUUUAAUUAUUUAUUUAGGCUUGCACGGACUACUCGAAGACUCUUAACAAAAGAAGAAAAAAGGUUCAAAUUAAUAAAUUUGACAUGAAUAAUCUACCAUAUAAAGAAUACAUACAUAAGGAAUUUAAACCAACUAAUAGUUUACUCCAUUAUGCUUUGCACUUUGAUUAAUGUUAGAGCAAUUCUUCAUAGAGAUGAGAGAAGUAUUUCUAGAUCUAACAUCAUCCAUGUACAAUGCUUAAUCAGAGUCUCUAUUUAUAGGCAUAAGAAGUAUAAAAUAAGUAGAGAUCUAAUUCUAAUAACUAUUAAAAUUUAAAGUACAUUAAAAUUUUAUCUUGAUUAUGAUGGACAUCUACUUAAUAAGAUAUUCAGAACAUUUUUUUUACUUCUUUUCAACAAUUAUAUAUUUUUCAAUUGUUUUUUUUUACCAUUUUCCUUUUAUUUUUAAUUGAUUCUGAUAAAAAUAAAAAAAAACUAUUAUUAACUUAUUAUACACCCAUUCAAUUUCAUGCUUUUCUUUAACCUUUUUCCUCCUAAUGUAUCUGGACUCUGGUCCUUGUUAUUUUAAAUUUAUUUCAAAAUCAUCCCUUAUUAUUUCAAUAAAGUAUGUUGGUAAUAGUUAGAACCAAUUUGGCAUUUACAUCUUUCUUUUUUUUUUCAGAAGUCUAAAUUAUUUAACUUAUAAUCCCUCUAUAUAAAAUUAUCAUGAAUAAACAAGAGUUUGGAAGGAAGGAGAAGAUAAAUAGAGUAAUAUAUAACAUAUAGUUUGGAGAGCAAAACUAAAAUUAAAAAUUCAGAGAUAAUUAGGAGAACAACAUUAUUAUUAAAAUUAAAACUUAGAAACCAAACAUUACAUAUAUAGAUUGGACAACAACAUUAAACUUAAACUUAAAACCUAACCUAUAUAGUUAGGAGAACAACAUUAAAAUUAAAAUAAACUUAACAUUCUUUGAUUUCUUAGGGGGACUGAGGGGGGUCGCGAAAUAUAUCGAGAAGAUGUUCAGAGGUCUUGCAAUUGGCACACUUAGGGUUGACAUCACAUGCCAUCACAUACAUUAAACAACGAGUACAAGCCAUCACAACAAGUGACGGUCCCUCUGCAAUUGGGUAGUUGAACUCAAUUUCUUCACCAGAAAAGUCUUGUUGAUUCAGAAGCAUACGUGACAUUUCCGAUAGGAUCUCCGGAUAUCGGUUAGUAGAUAAAGGAUCUUUCGGGGGUAGACCUAUCGGAGUUAACUCAGAAUUCAAAUCUAUGAUUUUUCCUUUUUCUUCUCCGACGGUUUCGAUCAAACUUAUCUUCCGAGCAUCUCCUCGAUGAUAUUCCUUAAAAAAGUCCAAAAAAAGCCACAGAAACAUAAAAAGUUGAUAAAUGGAAAUGAAUUCCUUUAUUAAGAGUAUCGUCAGAUUUCACCCAAUUUUAAUCAUUUAUUUAGACUUGCACGGACUUACUCGGAGUCUUAACAAAAGAAGAAGAAAAUGUUCAAAUUAACAAUUUUGAUAUGAAUAAUCUACCAUAUAAAGAACACAUACAUGAGGAAUUUAAAUUGCCUAAUAGUUUACCUCAUUAGGCUUUGCACUUUGAUUAAUGUUAGAGCAAUUCUUCAUAGUGACAGUAGCACUAGAGAUGAGAGAAGUAUUGCUAGGUCUAACAUCAUCCAAAGGACUCUCUUGCUUAAUUUUAGGGAUUUUAAUGGCCAUUGAUUGGAAUUAGAGAAGAGCGAUGGACUCUUUCAACUUUGUUUACUCUCAAUUUAUAGAGAAUCGGGUAGCAAGGACGUGGUUUCAUAGAUAACGAUGAGUAAGUAAAAAAAUGGUAAUCAUAAUAAUAAGGGUAAUUAUUUGGAACGGGGCUAAGAUUUUGACACGUCAUAUUUAUUUAUUUAUUUGUUAAAUACAAUUUAAGGACACAUGACAAAAUCUCAACCCACUUGUAGAGUUAAAAAUUUCCACCGCUAGUGUACCAAAUAAUUAUCCUAAUAACAACAACACCACAACCCAAUUUUAUAGUUUAUAGAUGAUUGGAUUGUAAUUGAUCCCCAAUACAUUAGCAAAUUUCAAAAUUCUAUAUUUUUAAGAGAUUUGUAUAGGUUUUGUACUAAGUAUUGAGAGCACUUAUCUGUUUAAGGAGAAAAUUUAGAUGUUAGAGAUCUAGCCUUUAGAAACAAAAGUAAGGUUGCUAUAUUGGGGUGUGAUAGGACUUAAAUCACUUGUUAUAUUGGGAUUAAAGAUAGUGGAUGAAUUAGGCUCCACAGACAUAAAGAAAUCGAACUGUGUAUACAAUUUCACCAAUCAUAUCUAUGUCUACAUUCUUCAAUAGAUUUAGGUUUAAGAUCCUCAAAUUUUUUCCAAUAUUUCAACAUAAACAUUAUAUGAAAAAAACAUUGUUGGCAAUUAUUUUAUUUUGGUUUCAUCUUUUUUCUUGUAGUAACAUAACUUAUCGAAAUCUCUUCAUUUUUAUUAUUAUCAAGUACCCAUGCCUCUUUUGAGAUACUACCAUUGAUUAUAUCUCGAGUCUUUUCAUGAUUACUCAUCUUUAAAUUACUUUAAAUGUGAUAUUUAAUGUAUGGAUUCUCUCAUAUUAAUUACCUUUAACAGUUACAACUUCUUAUUUACUAAAAUUGGGGUUGUUGAGUUGUAACAAGUUUGUUGUUAUCUCAAAUUUGGUUAACUCUUUAUUUUCAAUAAAAUUUUGGGUUGAAAAAAAUCCUAAUUUUCUAAAUAAGGCUUCCAUCUUUUUAAUAUUGAGAUAUAGAUUCAUUUACAUAUUAUUCUUUUCACAUUAUUUUAACUAAAAAACAGAAAACACGUUAUAAUCAUUUCUUUGUUUUUUGAAUUUUUAUUUUACGGUUAAAUUAUUUUUUUCGAAUCAUGUGCAUUGACAUGAUAGUCAGGAUAUUUAUUGCCCUGAUUUGGGUUCUAAAUAAUAGCUCAUUUUUUCUAAAUAUAAUUAUAUAUUUGUUAUUGAACACAUUAACUCCAAAUAUUUUACGCAUUUUAAAAAAAAUAUAUGCGUACAUGAAAGAAGAAGAUCCCAAUAAAUAAUAUAAUUUAUUUGUAAAGUAAUAAUAUUUUAAUCAUUACUCAAUUAAAUUAACAUUAACGUGGUAAAUUAGUUAGUGUAAAAUUAACUUAUAAUAGUAACUCAAAUCAUAUAUACAUAUAUAAGUAUAAAUAUAUCACAAGAUUUAAAAUGAAUAAGUGUGUUCACAUUAUAGUUUUUUGGCACGUGGUGCUCUUCAUUUUAAGUAAUUAGUUUUGCUUUGGGUAAAUUAACCUUUUACCCCUUACCCUUUUAAAUUAUAUUAAAUAAUUAUUUUACGUAUAUUACAAUUUAUAAGAUUUUUUUUUAAUUAAUCUUAUUAUUAUUAAUUUUUAUAAUAAAACAUUGACAUGUCUAUUUAUUAUAAUCUUUUUGAUAUAAUAUUUCAAUUUCAAUUUCAAUUUUUUUGGACUUAUUACAAUUGACAUUUCUAUUUAUUAUAAUCAUUUUGAUAUAAUAUUUCUAAACUUCAUAAGAAAAACAUAUAUUUUAUAUACUAAUAAUAUGCAUUAUUAAUUUUUUAUGUUAAGAUUAAAUUUACAUGAUUUUUUAUUUUAUUUUAAAAACAAUUACAUUAGAAUCUCGUGUGUUGGCCUGAUGGUUAGGGUGUUCGUUGCCCCAAGUGUUGAUCCUUGAUUAAGUUCACCAUAAUUUGGAUCUGUAUUUGUAUCAUUAAGAGUAUUAAGGGCUCCUUCUUCCAUAUACUCUUCGAAGUUAUGAAAUAUACAACAUGCUAGUUUUAUGUUAUACUAAGGUGAUGUUGUUAAUAUGAUAUAUUUUUUAGAACAUCUUCUCAACUACAUUUUGAAGCCUUGAAUAUCUCAAAAUAGAGAGUUCACAAGCUAUCUUUAAUAUUUCUGUCUAGCUUCAUUCUCUCAAAUAGUAUCAUAUUUCAUGAUAUGAUGCAAGAAAACCUUUUGUAUUUGCAUAAUUAUCAUCUACCAUACAAUGUUUGGGUUCACAUUGCUAAUAAUGUGUAGCUUUAAUUAUAAAAAAAAUUAUAUAAACUUUAUUUGGAGAAAGACAUGUUAGGUUAUAAUCUUUUUUAUAAUAAGUAAAUUAAGUAAAAAAAAUUGUAUAAGAUUUACAAUACACAUAAAUUAUUUUCAUUUUUUUAAGAUUUAUAAUAUAAGAACUUUUUGUCAUAACUAUCCGAACAUUCAUAUGCGUUCAUGUUUAUAAUAUAAUUUAUAUAAUUCGUAUAAAAACAACAUUUUUAAAUUGGACUUGACUGUAAUUACCUACAUAAUUACUCCAUUUCUCACAUCCAGUUCAUUGGGAUACACCAAUUACAAUGAUUAUCUAAAGAUGUCACUGUUAUAUAAUUAUAAGCAAUUACACCCAAAUCAAAUUACUACGUAGCUUACCAAACACUACCUUAAUCGCUUCUCCAAUUGUGAUUUUUUAAAAAUUUAUUCAAAGAUAUAUUAAGAGUUUUAUGUAUAAAAAGACGCCUUUCGUAAUGAUGUCUAAAACUGUGUCAUAGUAAGUGAUGGGGAUGAUAUUGGUACAUGGAUCAUGCCCAAUUUCUUACAUUAUUAUAUCUAAUAUGAAGAUUUUGAUAUAGAAGUAUAUCAACCUUUAAAAUAGAUAUCCUUUGGAUCAUAUCAUGUAUUUCUUCCAAUUUAUUGGUUACAACAUUUUACCUUCAAAUUAACUUUUAAAUGUACCUCUCAAUGUAGCUAAAAAUGUAUUACUUUCAUAUGUCAUUGACCACAUGAAGACAUGAUCCAAGAGCCAAAGGCUUCUUAAAAUUAAUAACCUAGUUUAAUUGGUGCCUGCCUGAUAACAACACAAGUGGUUAUACUCUUUGAAACCUGUGAACCUUUUCUAUGUUUGCAAAAUCAUUUUACCAAUUUUCCUCUCCUUCAUAAUCUAACUCUAUCCCAAAUUUCAUUGGUUUAAAAAGUAUAGAGAUACAUGACAAUUGGACUUACAUAUCCCAUAAACAUGUCACUAAAAACAUAAAAAUUCAAGAAAUCAAUUACUUGUAAAUGAUGAAUAAAUAGAUCAAUAAAUCUAAGAACCGGUUUUACAUGAGAAACACCAUUGUUCUAGAUUAAAUGUUUUAACAGAGUAUUAAGGAAUUGCUUUUUCUUGCUGCAAAUACUUGCUUGAUAGGAAAAAUAAAAAUAAAAUUACUGAAGCAAAUAAAAAGUUAAUGAUAUACAGACUAGUUUUUAGCGUAUUUAGAAACCAAGAGGAUCCCUCCCCCAUAUAUAUAGGUGCUCACAGCACGACACUACAUAACAUUCUAGCAAAGGAUAAAAUCAAAAGACAUACUAAAGCACAGAAUUACAGCACAAAAGACCAAAACAUGUUGCAUUAUAUUGCAAAACCACAAAGAUCUGUUGAAAAGCAAACAUUCAUAUGUAUAAAAGCAAUGAGUUACAAUGCUUAAAAACACAUUUAUUAAGCAAUAAAAUGGAUAUCUCAUCAAAAUUCAAAAUAGUAGUUCAUGCUCAAAAGUAAUCUAAAGCAUAUUAUGCAAAGGGAGGAGAAUCUGAUCUAAUAAACAAACUAGUACAUUGAAUAGUUGUCACUAACCCCAGGCCUGAUGCUUUUAUAAAUUGCCAUGACAAUAGGAAGCAUAGAGGUGAGUGCAAUCUGAAGUUGAUCCGAGCUGCUUGUUCGAACAGUUAUCUGUCCACUCAUCUUGUUGUUCAGUCCUGCACGAACUGCUACUUUUGAAUUCCUUCCAACGGAUAACUGAGACUGAAAAUUGGCUCCCAGUGCCAAAUCCCCUCUCCAUUUGACUAGAGACAAACCCAAAGUGGAUUGAUCCUGGUCGAUUGGAAAAUCUGCGCCUCGGAGCCGCAUUUCUAGAUUGGCUCCAUAUGCUGAAUCACCUUUGGAUCUAACAGUCCCAGUGCUACCAACUAAAACCAGCCGCUUUCCAACAACAAUAUGAUCCUCAAGUUUGAGUCCAGUUGCAACAUUCUCACCUAGAAAUGUGACAGAGAAGCCGGCAGCUGUUUUGUUCUUUUUGAGAUUUUUGAAUUUGGUCUCCCCUCUGAAAACAUAAGCUAAUUGCUUUCCAACAUUUUGGACGUCAAAGCCAGCCAUGGUUGAUCCAUUUUCACCAUGCUUGGCAGAAACUGAAGAAUCCAAAUGGAUGUUAAACUCUUUCUUAUCCUUGGUGAGUUGAACGGAAACUGCAGCAGGAAACUGGCUGGCGAUUGCUAGACUAUGUUCAACAUUAACACCGUCAUAGCCACAAUCAUGGUCCCAACCGUGAGUGUCCAAUACUGGCCUCGCCAAGAACUGAGAAGUAGGUUCCAAGAACCGGUACCUGAAUGCUGGAUUAUCACCAUCAAAGGAAGGUGGCAGGACCAUAUCAGGUAAUGGAACUGGUACAGAAGCAGGACCACCAGUUUCCGGAUCAACAUCUUCCCCUGUGUUACCAUAUUCAUCAACGGCAGGCUUUCCUUUCUUCAGCUCUCUCAUUCUUCUCAACUCCUCCCCCCACUGCUUUUUCUGGAGGAGCUUCACCCGAUAAUCAUACUCCUCGAAAUAUGCCUUCCUUUGCUCCUUGUCAAGCUUAGCAAGUUGUGCUUUCCUUAGAGCUUUGAAUGGUGGGAGCUUAUCAUACUCAUCCUCGUCGUCUUCUUGAUCAGAAUCAGAUAAAUCAUCCACAUCAAUAUCUGAGUCACCAUUCUCACCACCCUGAUCAGCAGAGAGUUUAGGAUGGCUACGAGACUGCAACAGCCACGAUAGCAAGUAUGGAAGAGGAGGAGAUCGGACACGAAAACCAAAGAGCUUCCGAUGGUCAAAUGGAUCUUGAGGUUUGGAGAGAGAACUUGCUUCAGAUAGGACUUUGAUAGAGUAGCAUAACAACAAUAGCUGAGGUCUCCAAGUUUGACCGUUAGGAAGCACCUUGUGGCCAUCCCUAUUCUUUCGGCAUGAUGGAUGAUUUUCAACAAGACAAACAGGAUUCAUCAAACUUGGAUUCAUCAUGCGUAAAUCACCAACAGCCUGAGCAAUAGACUGCUGAACAACAUGAGAACGUUGAGCAACAAACACCUCAUAACUCAAAGGCGAGCCAGAUGGUCCAUCAGGAGGUGCAGAAGCAGCAUGAGUCAAAGCAACUACGGCAUUUUUCCAGAUAGAGGAGCCAAGAGAAUUAGUGAUUGAUCUUAACAAUGGAAGAUCAUUAAGAUCCCGGGUCUGGCUGUCCAACCGAUCAACAUAGACUACAACAUCAGGGGGACACUUCUUCAUGUAUUGCUUUAUAGAAGCUAGGACCUUGCGAUUGGCACCUUGCUCCAUGGCAGAAGAUCUCAAACCUGGGGUAUCAAUGAUCCUCAAUUUCACACCAUCUAAUGUUCCAGUAAUCUCUUUCACAACUGAAGUGGCAGGUUCAAAUGCAUGAAUUGAAGUCUUCUCCUCACCAAAGAUUGAAUUUAUUGUGGCGCUCUUGCCCACCCCAAUUUUCCCAAGCACAAGUAUGUUCAAGGAGAAGCUUAAAUCAUCUUUACCCUCUGUUUCAAGUUCCAGAGCUUUCCUCUUUGAAGAAUCAACACUAAACAGUUCACUGGUUUGCCUCCCUGCAACAAGCGCCAGUCUAUAAAGAACCUGUGCUGCAACAGAAUCUUCCGUAGAGAGUCCUAGCCUCUGAACAAGCCUCAAGAAUUUGACUCUAAUAAGUUGCAACUUUUCUAAUUUUAUUUUAUCUUCUUCAGUCAAGUUGAUGUCGGAGUCUCUCCUACUUGUUACAGCAGAAGGACUAAAUAAGUUAGGCCUGUUUGAUCGAGCUGCAGGUUUUGCAUUUUGCAGUGAGGAUCCUAAACCCACAGGACGUUCAACAGAGAAAAGCCUAGAUCCAUCUUGAGAGGUUAUAGUAAUGUUACCACCAUCAGAGCCAGCGCCGGUUGCUGCUUUCAAGAGGGCUGCCAAAGCAGCAGAAUCAAAUAACUCCUUCCCCUCCCCUUCUUCAUCUGUAUCCCCUUCUUCAUCAGAAUCAAUGACAAUCUGACCAUCAAUUGUCUGCGAAUGAUCAUGAGAAGUAUCAGCACCCGAGUGAGAACCAAUGGCAGCUCCUCGUUCUAGCUCCUUCAAGAAUUGCUCAGCAGCAUCAGCAUUCUCAAAGAACAUGCUUUCAGCCUCUCCGUCAGUAUCUGAGCCUCCAAUUUCAGCACCUUCAUUCUGAUGGUGCUCCUCUUGCAUUUCACCUUCAAAACUAUUUUGUUCAACAGACUUUGGUAAAUGAGAUUCUUCUACUGCCAUGGCUACUGAUCUUUUGCUUUCAGAAUCAGCAUCUGAAACCUCCAUUUCACGAGCUGCCAUCAUUUCAGUGGGUUGAGCAGAAUCAUCCAUGGUCUGAAUUCCAUCUAUACCCCCUCCAUCUAUUUUCUCAGUAGACGCUUGCUCCAACAUAUCUACACCUGCCUCCUCUUUGAGGUCACUUAGCUCAGAUUCGGAACCAUCUUUAGCAAGCAAACCCCCACCAGCAACAUCAGCUUUCCUCUCGGCAUUGGUUUCAGAAGUCAAGACCUCAGUAGUUUCAAUUUCAUCGGUCGCAACAGGGUCAAUAGUUUUAUCAGACACAGGAUGGACAUCCAGAACACGUUCUUCUUCAUCAUGACCAGCCUGAUUAAAGCCAUUAUCCAAGCUCACAUCCCCAUCAACCGGAACCACCUCUGUCUCCUUAAUCUCCGAUGUCUCAAUGCCUAAACCAUCACCAGUUAAAGGCGUUGCAUCAACAGCCAACUCCUCUCCACCGGAAAAUUUCGAACCAUCAUCAUCAACCACCUCACCAUCUACUGCUUCUGCAAUCACAGGAUUAACAACCUUAGCUCCACCAUCUAACACCGAAUUAUCCUCAUUCUCAACCAUCCCAAUUCUACCUUCCUCUUCACUCUCAAUUGAUAAAACAGCUUGGUCAGCUUCACCAGUAGAGCCCAUUCCCACCUUAUUAUCCUUCUCUUCUCCAUUACCAACACUAUCAAAAUCAACCUUUCGCAGCGAACCCUCACCUCUAAACUCCUCUAAACCAUUAUCACCACCCCCAAACGACUCCUCCUUCAAAAUCACAUCCGAACCAUCAGAACCAACAAAAGGGGUAUCGCUAACAUCCCCAACAGUCGGAAAUACUUCAUCAGGGUCAGCCACAAAUGGCCUCUCGGGUACUGUUUCAAACUUGCCAUCACCGUUCUCAUCAAUAUCACUAGUUCUAUUAUCAUUUUCUUUCAAAGCAUAAUCGCUUACCGAACUAGUUACAAACUUAGAAUCAUCAUCGGAAGAAGAAGAAGAGGAGGAAGAAGAAGAAGAGGAAGAAGAAGGAGAACCUGGAGUGGCAGAGAGCGGCUGAGAAGCGAUUUCUGGGGCAGAAAACUCGGUUUCCAUGAGAGAAGAGAAUUAGGGUUUUAGGAUAUGGUAAUGAAAAUUGGGUGGUAAAGAAAAAUCGGAUUGCGUAACUGGAAUUUUGUGAUGGAGAUACUAAGCUUUAAGGAAGAGGAAAAAGAUAAGGUAGAAUGGAAGCUAAGGGUUUUGCGAGUUCGUAAUUAUCAAUCUCAUCUGUUGAGAUUAAAAAAAAAAAAAGCAAUUAUAUUAUAAUUUUAUUACAUUAUAAUUAAAUUAUAUUCAUUUAUUAAUUUAAAAUAAUCUUAAGAUUUGUAAUGCAUGAAAAAUAUUUUUUUAAAUAAAAAAUAUAAAUAUCAAUACUUCAUUUUUUUAAUCUUUAUUUAUGAUAUUAUAGUGAUAGUAAAAAUUGAUAUUUUUAUAUAUGAUGUUAAUUUAAAAACUAAAUAUUUAAGUAUAUAUUUAAUUUAAAAUAUUUAACAUAAAUUCAUAUAAAUUAAUAUUAAUAUAUACCAAAUUUAUAUAUAUUAAUGUUAAAAAGUAUCGUUAUUUGUUAUUUCAUAAAUUUUGUUAACUAUCGUAAAAUUUUAAAUAAUUAAGUUAAUAGUUAAUUGAGUCUUAAUUCAAUUGGUAUAGGUGUUGUUGUUAGUGCAAAAAAAUGUAGGUUCGAGUACGUUGAACUGCAUUAUUUUCCUAUUUAAGGGUUUAAGAGAACUAUUGGUAGUUUUAAAGUAAGUAUGAUAAAAAUCUAUAAAAAAAUCUAAUUAAAUUAAUUAAUAUAUAAAUUAAUAUAGAAGAAGAAAAGAAUAUACAUAUUGUGUUUUAUAUAGUUUAUAUUAUUUUCUUUAAAAAUAGUAUUAUCAUAUAUUAAGCGUAAAUACUAUAUGUCAAUAAUGACAGUAGAAAUUAUCGUAAUGCAAUAAGAAACAAAAAUAAGAACACAAAGAUUUACUAAUUUACUAAUUAGACCAACAAUAAUAAGAAAUUUUCUAUUAGAAAGAAUAAUAAAAUAAAAUAAAAAUAUUAAACAAUCAAUUUUUAAAAAUUAAUUCACUAAUUUUCAUCUUAAGCUUGAUAUUUUGCUUUUUCACUUGUAUCAUCCACUUGUUUGUUGUAUCUAUAAUUUCAUAUAUUUUUUAAUGUUUUAACAUUUCGAUAUUUUCACAAAAUUUUCUUGAUAUUUUGUAUUGCCGAUUAUAUAUGUUGGGGUUCGAUUUGUAUGAGCAACGAAUAAGUAAAAUAAAGCAGAUCAAACAUACAAGUAUUUUACGUAAAAAAACUACUCCGAAGAGGAUAAAAAUCACGGCAAAGGAGGUUUCAGCUUUUCAUUAAAUAUGUAAACAAACAAGAGUACAAUAUGGAGAAAAUAAACCUAAAUUUACUAAACGUACAUUACUCAAAACUCUGAAUAUAAGGUAAUAACUCUCAUAGAGCAAACCCGAAAAUAAAACCCUAAUUCUCGUAGAGUUAUCUCAGAAGAAGUACAAAAUUAUAUUUAUAGUUACCGCGAAAACUCUCACCACAUCACCAUGUCUCAAUGUACCUAUUCGCGCCAUCCGUUGUCACAACGUCAGGGAGCUUCUCAUCAUUACCUCACUGUCUGCUCGACCGAAAAUACGACACCCCACAUAUUGGAAGAAAACUUAAAAAAAAGUUAUUAAAAAAGAUGGUGAAAAAAAUAUAUGAAUUAAAAAUUUUCAAAAAUUAUAAAAGUUUAAUGAUACUAUAAUAUUAAAUUUAUUUUAUUGAAAAAUUAGUUUCAAAUUGAAAAAAAAAAACCUUUCAUUUUGUUUUAGGAAAACAUUUUCUUGGAAAAUUAGAAAACAAACUAAGAAAAAAUGAUUUUGUUGAAAAUUCUAAAAACAAUUUUUGAAAAAAAAUUGUGAAAAUUUUAAAAAAAUUAUUUUUAUUCUUUUCACUAAAAAUGUUUUUUACAAAAUUGGAAACAAGUGUUUUAAACUUUAAAAUUAAUGGAUGAAUUGACCUUAGAUUAAAUCCAUUUAAAGGAGAAAUUUUAUUAUUUUAAACCAUUUUUAAAUAAAAAUCUCUUAUCUAAAUUUUUAUUUUAUUUUUUAUUUUUCUAUUAUAAAAAGAUGGACACUAAACAUAUUUUUUAUUUUUUAAUCCAAAUAAUUAACGCUGUUCACUUUUCUAUUAAAAUAUUACAUGAUUAUAUAUAACUUAAAUGCCCCAAAGGUCUCAGAGGCUGACACGUGACUUCUUAUUUCUUUUGGAUUUGCCUUUAUUAGCAUUUUAUGUCAUGCUAAAACUUGAUAUUUAAUCUAUAUACUUUAAUUUAUAACAUAAUUUAAUUUGGUUCAUUUACUUUUACAAUGUCAUUAGUUAGUUUAAAUAAUUAAUAUUGUUAAAUAUUUCAAUCAAAUGCUGUCAAUUUUUUUUUUAAAUUACUAUUCUAGCAAAAAAUAUUUUAUCAUCACAAGCUUAAACAAGUAUUUUUAAGAAAAAAAUCCGCACCAAUAAAAUUGGAUUUAAUGUAACAGUUAUCCUAGAUGACAUCAAAGUGGUGCUCCCUGUGGCACUGGAUUUUCAACCAGAGGCGAACCCAAGGGGGGUUGGCAGGGGCCCGACCCCCUUAAAAUAGAAAAUUAUUGUUUUGGCCCGUUAAAAAAUUUUAAAUUAGUGAAGAUAAAAUUACACUUUGCCCCCCUAAAAUUAUGAAAAUUUAAUUUAAUCUUUUAAAAAUUAUAAAGAUAUAGACAAUUAAAAAUUAAAAUUUCAUUUCGGCCCUCCUAAAGAGAAUUUCUAGCUUCGUCCUUGUGUCUAAUCGUGGGAUAUAACAAAAACUAUAAUUAAAUAUAUAUAUUUUUAAAAAAACUAGCAAUUUUAAGCAAGACCUUUUAAGAUUGGGUUAAUAUAAUUUUUAGUCCCUGAAUAUAGUAAUUAAAUCCACUUCAGAAAUCGCACUUUUUUUUGUUCACUUUAGUACUUGAACUUAACAACUAGGUUUAUUUUAGUCAUUUAACUUAGAUUCAAUCACAAUUUGAUGAUAUGGUACAAUUUCAAAAUAUCACUCAUCAAGUUUUUUACAUUUACUAAAUUUAAUCAAAAUAAAUCUAAUUACCAAAUUUAGAUACGGGAAGUAAAAAUACAAAAAUAAAUUUAAUUCGUAUUUUGUUGGUUUGCCUUUGAAGGAUAACAUUAAGGAUUAGGCUUCUGUAUAACUUUGUUUGGUUUGGUAUUUUAUUUUAUCUUUAUUUUAUUUGGGCUUAUUUUGACCUUAUAUGUGUUUUGUUGUUUGGUUAGGCAUAUUUGACUUCUAUUGGAUAUAUGUAUAUGUUUUUAUUAAUGUUUUUAAAAUCAGAUUGAUAGGCAAAUUAGUUACGCUAGAAGUUUAUUAAUCCGAUUAGUUUAAUAAAAGAAAUAUUAAAAGAAUUGGUUCAAUAUCGGUCGAUCCUUUUUUAGUCAAUUAGUUUAACCAGUUCGUGAAUUUUAUCGCAUCAGUUCAAAGUCUUUCUCCAAAUCAGUUCUUCGACCGAUUGUCAUUCCAAUCAAUUCAACCGUCUAAUUCGAUUUGAUUCAAACAAUCUUAAACCCAUUUAAGUUCAUCCAUAUUAAAAAUUUAAAAUAUUAUUUAUAUAUUUAAUAAUUUUAUAUAUUUUUAAUUAAAAAUUUAAACAUAAAUAAUUUUCACAUAUAUAUAUUUAUAUAUUUAUAUAUUCAAUUUUCAUACUAUAAAUAUAAAAGAAAAGAAAAUUAACAUAUUAUAAACUAAAAAAAAAUGAGCCAAACCUUUGAAUAUUGAAGCUUAAGUGUGACAUUUUUUAAAAAUGAGUUUAAUACUUUUAUAUAAAUUUAGCUUAAAUUUAACUCUUUUUCUUAUUCAAAUCUUCUCAAAAAUAGAUUUAUAAUGAAUUUAAAUGUUAUACACAAUUACUAUAAAAUAAAUAAAAGAGAAAACUUGGUAAAAGUAUCAUGUACUAUUAAAAAUUUAGGUGAAUUAGUCCUUGUAAGUUAGAUUCAAGAGCAAAUUGAUCCUUUUGUAGAAAAUUUUAUCCAUUUUUACUAUUAAAAAUUGGUCACUAUAAGUCAGUAUGAUGUACAUGUGAUAUGCCACGUAUAAUUGUCGGUUAUUUACAGUAAAAAUAGAUUAAUUUACUCUUUUUCUAAAUAAAAAAAAACAGAUAAAAUACAAUCUUUCCAAUACAAAAAUGGAAAUGAUAUUUUUACCGAAAAUACUAUAAUAAAACCUCGUUGUAGGGACGACAUGAUUUUCCCUUCAAGUUGCUACCAUCAUCUAACAUAAAACAAACACAAGAGUUUAAAGAGUGAUAUUUGGGAUUGGUCGGCCACAUUGCUUUAAUCAGUAAUGAUAUAAGAUUUAACAAAACUUUGUCUUACCAAAAUAAACUAUAAAACUAUAUCUAAAUAAUAUUAAUUAAAUAUAAAUUAUUAUUAUUAGUGUAAUUAUUAUGAAUUUUGUGUUUGACAUAUUACAUUCUCAUGAAAAAAAAAUAUUUAACUCAGUUUUAUUUUGUGAAAAUACUUAUUAAUUGAAUGUUGGCUUCAUAAAAUUUUUAAUAAAUAUUAAAUUUAUUUUUGAUAUUUCAAAUAACAAUUCUAUUUAUUAAGUUAUUAUAGAGUGAAUGAAGAAAAUUAAAUUCUCAAAGGUUAAGGGAUAGGAUAGUAUAAUUUUUGACUCGAGAAGAUUUAAUCGGUGAUACUUCCCCCUCCAUUUGUUUAUUGGUUUUGAUAAUAUAAAUUUUAACUUUUUAUUUAUUAUCAGAAAAUUCAUUUAACUUAACCAAAUGUGACAAGUCUUAUAACUAAUAAAAAUAUUUAAAAUUGUAAAACUAAUAAAAAAAUAAACAAGUGGUUUUAAUUAGUAUAUAAAAAUUAAUACUUCAAUAAAUAAAGUAGUUCAAUACAGUAUUUAAUCUUUUUAUCAAAUAAAAUUAUUUAAUAAAAAAUUAACAAAUAUUUAUAUUUGUGAUAAGUAUCUAAUAAAUUCAUUUAAUAAAAAAAUUUAAUAGCUUAUAAAUCCGAUGAAAAUAUUUAAAAUGAUAAAAUUAGUAAUAUAAUAAAGAAUGAAAAGUACUCUAAUUAAUUUAUAUAUCUAAAACUCAUUUUCUUUGCCUAACCCUCCCCAGCCCUCAAAGCAUACAAAACAGAGCAAAACAACCAAAUACCCUAUUACCAAUCAAAACAUCAUACAUUUGCAGCCCUCGAAGACUAGAUAUAUAUUUUUAAGGUCCCUCUGAGAUUAUAUAUUAAUAUUAUACAUUAGUCUCUAUGACCUUUUUCAUUUCACCACACAAUCUAAAUUUCUAACUCUGCCCCUACAAUCUAGCUCCGCCAGACUCCAACUCUUAUACUGUUCAAGAGGAACUUAUACUAUUUAAAAACAAAAAUAUCAUACAUGAACUAUAAGUUCUUUUUAAAACAAAACCAACCAGUUAUCAUCAAUCCUGCGUACCAUUCUAGUAGAGGAUAUGUAAAAAUAACAGAUCCUCAAAAAGUAACAUUAUAUCAAAAGGCUGCAAAGAUCUGUACAUGUAAAUUCCUCUGCUAACAGGCAAAAUGUUCAUAUUUAUAAAAAGCUUACCAUUAACCAAAACCGCUAAACAAACAAGCAAAAAGUUACCAUGCUUAGUAACAUUUAUUAGGAAAUAAAAAUGGAUACCUCAUCAAAGCAGUACUUCACGCACAAAAAUAGCCUACAACAUAUUAAUCAAGGAAUGUAGCUAAUAAACUAAUACAUUGAGUAGUUGUCACUAACCCUGGGCUUGAUGCUUUUGUAAAUUGCCAUGACAACAGGAAGGAGACCAGUGAGUGCAAUCUGGAGUUGAUCCGAGCUGCUUGUUCGAACAGUUAUCUGUCCACUCAUCUUGUUGUUCAGUCCUGCACGAACUGCUACUUUUGAACUCCUUCCAACAGAUAACUGAGUCUGAAAAUUGGCUCCCAGUGCCAAGUCCCCUCUCCAUUUGACUAGAGACAAACCCAAAGUGGAUUGAUCCUGGUCGAUUGGAAAAUCUGCACCUCGGAGCCGCAUUUCUAGAUUGGCUCCAUAUGCUGAAUCACCUUUAGAUCUAACAGUCCCAGUGCUACCAACUAAAACCAGUCGCUUUCCAACAACAAUAUGAUCCUCAAGUUUGAGUCCAGUUGCAACAUUCUCACCUAGAAAUGUAACAGAGAAGCCAGCAGCUGUUUUGUUCUUUUUGAGAUUUUUGAAUUUGGUCUCCCCUCUGAAAAUGUAAGCUAACUGCUUUCCAACAUUUUGGAUGUCAAAACCAGCCAUGGUUGAUCCAUUUUCACCAUGCUUGGUAGAAACUGAAGAGUCCAAAUGGAUGUUAAACUCUUUCUUAUCCUUGGUGAGUUGAACGGAAACUGUAGCAGGAAACUGGUUGGCGAUUGCUAGACUAUGUUCAACAUUAACACCAUCAUAGCCACAAUCAUGGUCCCAACCGUGAGUGUCCAAUACUGGCCUCGCCAAGAACUGAGAAGUUGGUUCCAAAAAUCGGUACCUGUAUGCUGGAUUAUCAGCAUCAAAGGAAGGUGGCAAGACCAUAUCAGGUAAUGGAACUGGUACAGCGGCUGGACCACCAGUUUCCUGAUCAACAUCUUCCCCUGUGUUACCAUAUUCAUCAACGGCUGGCUUUCUUUUCUUCAGCUCUCUCAUUCUUCUCAACUCCUCCCUCCACUGCUUUUUCUGGAGGAGCUUCACCCGAUAAUCAUACUCCUCAAAAUAUGCCUUCCUUUGCUCCUUGUCAAGUUUAGCAAGUUGUGCUUUCCUUAGAGCUUUGAAUGGUGGGAGCUUAUCAUACUCAUCCUCGUCUUCUUCUUGCUCUGAAUCAGAUAAAUCAUCCACAUCAAUAUCUGAGUCACCAUUCUCACCACCCUGAUCAGAAGAGAGUUUAGGAUGGCUACGAGACUGCAACAGCCAUGAUAACAAAUAUGGAAGAGGAGGGGAUCGGACACGAAAACCAAAGAGCUUCCGAUGGUCAAAUGGAUCUUGAGGUUUGGAGAGAGAACUUGCUUCAGAUAAGACUUUGAUAGAGUAGCAUAAUAACAGUAGCUGAGGCCUCCAAGUUUGACCGUUAGGAAGCACCUUCUGACCAUCUCUAUUCUUUCGGCAUGAAGGAUGAUUUUCAACAAGACAAACAGGAUUCCUCAAACUUGGAUCCAUCACACGUAGAUCACCAACAGCCUGACCAAUAGACUGCUGAGCAACAUGAGAACGUUGGGCAACAAACACCUCAUAACUCAAAGGUGAGCCAGAUGGUCCAUCAGGGGGUGCAGAAGCAGCAUGAGUCAAAGCAACUAUGGCAUUUUUCCAGAUAGAGGAGCCAAGAGAAUUAGUGAUUGAUCUUAACAAUGGCAGAUCAUUAAGAUCCCGGGUCUGGCUGUCCAACCGAUCAACAUAGACUACAACAUCAGGGGGACACUUCUUUAUGUAUUGCUUUAUAGAAGCUAGGACCUUGUGAUUGGCACCUUGCUCCAUGGCAGAAGAUUUCAAACCUGGGGUAUCAAUGAUCCUCAGUUUAACACCAUCUACCAUUCCAGUAAUCUCUUUCACUACUGUAGUGGCAGGUUCAAAUGCAUGAAUUGAGGUCUUCGACUCACCAAAGAUUGAAUUUAUUGUGGCACUCUUGCCCACCCCAAUCUUCCCAAGCACAAGCAUGUUUAUGGAGAAGCUUAAAUCAUCUUUACCCUCUGUUUCAAGUUCCAGAGCUUUCCUCUUUGCAGAAUCAACACUAAACAGUUCACUGGUUUGUCUCCUUGCAACAUGUGCCAGUCUAUAAAGAACCUGUGCUGCUAAAGAAUCUUCAGUAGAAAGCCCGAGCCUUUGAAGAAUCCUCAAAAAUUUGACUCUUAUAAGCUGUAAUUUUUCCAAUUUUAUUUUAUCUUCUUCAGUCAAGUUGUUGUCAGAGUCUCCCCUACUUGUUACAGCAGGACUAAAUAUGUUAGGCCUGUUUGAUCGAGGUGCGGAUGUUGCAUUUUGCAGUGAGGAUCCUAAGCCCGCAGGACGUUCAACAGUGAAAAGCCUAGAUCCAUCUUGAGAGGUUAUAGUAAUGUUGCCGCCAUCAGAGCCAGCAUCAGUUGCUGCUUUCAAGAGGGCUGCCAAAGCAGCAGAAUCAAAUAACUCCUUCCCCUCUCCUUCUUCAUCUGUAUCCCCUUCUUCAUCUGAAUCAACAGCAUUUGUCUGUAUAUGAUUAUGAGAAGUAUCAGCACCCGAGUGAGAACCAAUGGCAGAUCCUCGUUUUAGCUCCUCCAAGAAUUGCUUAGCAGCUUCAGCAUUCUUAAAGAACAUACUUUCAGCCUCUCCAUCAGUCUCUGAGCCUUCAUUCUGAUGCUGCUUCUCUUCCAUUUCACCUUCAAAACUAACUUUUCCAGCCACUGUAGUUUGCUCCACAGACUCAGGCAAAUGAGAUUCUUCUCCUGGCAGGGUUACUGACCUUUUGCUUUGAGAAUCACUAUCUAAAUUCUCUGUUUCAUGAGCUGCCAUUAUUUCUGUAGGUUGAGCAGAACUAUCCUUUGCCUGAAUUCCAUCUCCACCCCCUCCAUCUACUUUCUCAGAAAAUGCUUGUUCCAAAAUAUCUAUGACCUCCUCAUCUUUGAGAUCAUUUAGCUCAGUCCCAGAAUUGUCUUUACCAAGCAUAACCCCACUGGCAAUAUCAGCUUUAUUCUCAGCAUCAACAGCCAACUCCUCUCCGCCGGAAAACUUCGAACCAUCAGCAUGAUUCAAGCCGUUAUCCAUGCUCGCAUUAUCAUCAACUGGAACCACCUCUGUCUCCUUCAUCACCGAUGUCUCAAUGCCUAAAGCAGCUCCAGUCAAGGGUUUCGCAUAGACAGCCAACUCCUCUUCGCCAGAAAAUUUCGAACCAUCGACUUCAACUACCUGAUGAUCUACUGUUUCUACAAUCAUAGGAUUGACACCCUUAGCUCCACCAUCUAACACCAAAUCAUUCUCAAAAAUCCCAAUUCUACCUUCCUCUCCACUUUCCAUUGAUAAAACAGAUUGGUCGACUUCACCAAUGGAACCCAUUUCCACCUUAUCGUCCUUUUCCCCAUUACCAACACUAUCAACAUCAACCUUCCCCAUCGAACCCUCACCUCUAAAUUCCUCUAAACCAUUAUCACCACCCCCAAACGAGUCCUCAUUCAAAAUCACAUUCGAACCAUCAGAACCAACAAAAGGGGCAUCACUAACAUCCCUCGCGGUCGGAAUUACUUCAUCAGGGUCAGCCAUAAAUGGCCUCUCGGGUACUGUUUCAAACUUCCCCUCACCAUUCUCGUUACUAUCAUUAGUUUUACCAUUCCCAUUAUCUUCCAAAGUACGUUCACUUACUGAACUAGUUACAAACUCAGAAUCAUCAUUCGAAGUUAAAGAAGAAGAAGAGGAAGAAGAACCUGGAGAGGUAGAGAGCGACUGAGAAGUGAUUUCCGGGGCAGAAAGCAAGGCGUCCAUGGUUGAAAGAGAGGAAAGGGAGAUAGAGAGAAUUAGGGUUUUAGGAUAUGGAAUGAAUUUUGAGUGGCACACAAAGUUUGGAUUGGAUUACUGGAAUUUGUAAGAGAGAUACCAAGCGUUUAAGUAAGAUGGAAAGAUAAGGUUCAUGGAAGCAAAGGGUUUGUUUGUGAGUUCGUUACUUGCCAUGUCAUUCGUUAAAGAUGUAAUUAAAAACUAUACAUAGAGGUAUCCAACUGGAAAAUUACCUAUAUUCAUCUAUCUAAUCAUUGAAUUUAUCGAGAAUGUAAUUUUUAUAAGAAAAUUGAAAUCAAGUCAUAUCUCAAUUGACAUAAAUAUUAUUGUUAAUAUAUAAAAACAUGAAUUCGAAUACGUUGAAAUGGAAUUAUAGAAAGACUAUAGAUAAUUUUUACUCAGAGAUAGAUGUUGAAGUAUAACAAAGAACUGAUGAAAUUGUUAUGUUGUAUAUAUAGUUUUGACAUAUUUUCAUUUAUUUACAAAUUAUUUUUAUGCUGCUGAACUUGUAUAAUAUAAGAAUCUCAUGAAAAAGUAAAAACGAAUAAUAUAGAUUUAAUGUAUGUAUUUUUAUUUAUAUUUAAAAUUUUAAUACAUUUAGUAAUUUUUAUUUAUGUAACAAACAUUUAAUAAGUUUCAAGCCCUUCAAAAACCAUCCCACCUCGACCCAAAAUUUACACAAGGAAAAGUAUAACAAUAGUACCAUUUACAAAAUGCCACAUUUACAAAAUAGUAUGUUUGUCAAACAUUCAAUAAGCUUAGGCUUUGGAGUCAAUUAACAUAGCAUGUUCAAAACUAAUUUAAACCUUAUCUCGGUAAUAAAUGAACGAUUACAAACUCUCAUGCAACUUGAUUUUUACAUGUGUCAAAUCUUCUGUAACAAUCCAACUUUUAGUGGUUUCAGAAAUAGUGAUUCGAGACAAUUCAAUAAAUUAAUAUUUAUAAGUCGGGUGUGAUUUUAAAAAUAUUUUUAAAUUAGUAAAUUUUGUGAUUUAAAAGAAAUUAUUAGGUAAAUUGGGUUGAAAAUGAGGUAUCGAGACAUCAAUUUCAUAAACUGAGUCGUAAAUAUUUUUAUAAAUAUUUACGGAUUGUUACUAAGAUAGUAGUAAAGUUUCAUUAGGAAAUUUUAACGUUUUGAUAGUUAAUUAAAUAAAAAUGACUAGAUUGAAAAAGGUACAAAACUUGCUAAAAUGAUUAAAUGGCUUAAGUGAUGAAUGAGGAGGGACUUAAGGCAUAAAUAUGCCAAUAGGGAAUAGUUUAGGCGGCAUGAGAAGAGAAAAAUCUGAACAAUUGAUGUAAUAAGGGCAAAAUUGGAAAUUUUGCAAAAAUUAACAAAUAAAAAUCUAAAUUAAAAGAGUUUCUAGCAAGUUUCUUCAUCUUUUCCAGCUAAAAACACCAUAGAAAGGUCCCUAUAAGCUGGUUUUUCAUGCUCUUGCUAUAAGUAAGUUCAAUUCUUGAUUAAUUCUUGUAAUUUUUGUGAUUUUCAUACUUUUACAACUAGGUCCAACUAUUGAACUCAUUAGUUUUUGAUUUUAUAAGUGAUUUUGAAAGUUACUAUGGUUAAGUGCUGGAAUUUUAUGAUGAAUUAACAUAGUUUUGAAGCUUUAAUUUUAUUAUAUGAUGGUUUUAUUAAGUGAUUUUAAUAGAAAUUUAUUUUGGGGACCUAAUUGUGAAAAGUUUGGAAUUAGGGUUUAAUGUUGAAAUUAUGGUUACCAAAGGUUGUGUAGUAGUUUAAAAUGAUGGAAUAAAGUGUUAGUUGAGAAAAUUUAGUUCAAUUGAGGGGUUAAUUGAGCAGGGACUAAAUUGUAAAAAUUAUAAAAUUUUGGGUAAAUAUGUAAUUUUGAAAAUUAAAGGGUAUAACGUGUGAAGUGAAUUUUAAUUGAAUUUUAUGUUGAUAAAUGAAUACUUUUACAUUAUAGAUCAAGAAUCUGAAGAGAAACGUGGAAAAGAAAAGUUAACCGAUUAGUCCCUGAACUUCCACAACAUCUACAAACUACUCUAGGUAAGUUCAUAUGGUUGAUUUUUCAUGAUAAAUUGUUAAAUUAGGACUGAUAUAAUGUAUUAAUUCAAAUGCUUAUUAUUGAAUCAUGAAUAUUGUAAAAGUUUGAGAUCUAAUUAAAAGUUCAAAUUAAUAAGAAAGCAGAAUUGAGUAUGAUCGUCCAGUGAUAAGUGAUGAAUUGACGGACAAGACCAUGGGUGGACCAGGGCAUAGUGAAGAUGUAAGACCAUAGCUGGGCUAUGACAUUCUACUGAAAAGACCAUAGCUGGGCUAUGUCAUCAGUGAUCAUCAGUGAACAUCAAUGAUCAUCAGUGAUCAUCAGUGAAUAUCAGUGAACUUCAGUGAACAUCAGUGAACAUAAGACCAUGGUUAAACCAUGGUAGUAAGUGAAUAAGUGUAAAACCAUAGUUAGACUAUGGUACCAGUGAAAAACGACGUACUUAAUUUUGUAAGACGUUCGCUAAUUUGAUAAAAAGUGAUAAUUGAUAUGGAAAUUAAAGUGAUAGAAUUUAAAUAGUUAACGAUAUUGAGUUCACUCACAUGAAUUUGUCAUUGGAAUUGUGAUUGGCAGGUAGUGUUAAUGAAUUACUUAUUUUAUGAAUUGUUGUAAUAUAUUUGGAAAGAAUUAUCUUUAUAACCUAUGAACUUACUAAGCUUAUAUAAGCUUACUCUAGUGUGCUUAAUGUUUCUUGUAGAUUGACGUGGUUAUUGGAGGAUCGGAUCAACUCAUCUCAUCACACUAUCCAGAUUACUUCGGUAGAUUUUGUUGAACAUCUUUUGGUUUAUAUGGCAUGUAUAAGGUGGUUUGAUAAUGAAAUAGUUUGAAUUGAAGUUAUGAGAUUUAAAUGUGUAUAUAUGUAUUAGAAAUGGAAAUGUUGGUGAUGUUUAUCAUAUUUAAUGCAUAAUUUGGCUUGGAUUGAGUACUUGGUUGGACUAUUUUGGUAUAUGAGUUUGUUUAGUGUAGGUUGGAUGAGUAUAGGGUGAGAAAAAUGGCCUUAAAAUGGCCUAUUUUCGUCUACACGGGUAGGCACACGGGCGUGUGUCUUGGCCGUGUGUCACACAUGGCCUGUUAUAUAGGUAUGCAGUUUGGCCAUGUGUCCCCUGUAAUCCUAAAAUUGAGAAACAAAAUGCUCAGGAUUGAGCACAUGGGUAGAGACACGGGCGUUUGUCUCAACCUGGAACAUGGGCAUGUUACACAGCCGUGUGAAACCUGCACUUAAAUUUUGAAAAUUUAAUUAACCAUAUUGCCUAACACACGGGCAUGUAAAGAUACUAUAAAUAUACUAUAAAUUACAGGCUAAGUUACUUUCAGGAGCCAUCAAAUCUUUGUGUUGUUGUUUUUUCACCUAAAACACCAGAAAAAAAGAGAAGGAAGAACCACUCAAAUUUCAACAAGUUCUUAUAAGUGAAAAGAACAUAUAAAGCAAUUAACCGUUGUAGGAAAAGACUUUACAAGGAACCUUACAUGUAAAAAAGACCUUAAACAGAAACCAACAAACCCUUUUGAAAAAUACUAGCUCAACAAGUUAGAAAACUCGAUAUGUGAGACCUUAUACUCGCAUUAUCAUUCACAUCAUAGCACAUUCCCAAACAGUUAGAUCAUCAAUAAAUGAAAAAGUUUACCAAGUAAAUCACAAUUGAAGAAUCGGUUUUAAAAAUGCUAGUGGAAUAACUUAACAUCAAUAUUCUAUUACAAUGACUACCUUCCACUAACAUCUAUUGAAAUUGAUAUUUCCUAACUUCUUGGAGUUUUAAAAAGAAAUUGUUCCUGAACAAAUAAAAUGAUUAUAAAUGAAGCGAAAAUCAACUUGAUAAAAAGGGAGAAAGAAAUGCCAUAUCGUAACACCUCUAUACUUGGUUUGAUCUAUGGACCCGGUAUAAAAUUUAAAUAUUUAUCCAUAAUGUUUUAAUUUAUUUAACCCAACAAUUAUUAUUAUAAACAUUUGGGGUCAUUCGAUUGCGUUUGAAAAUGAUUUUAAAAUUAUUUUCACUCAAAAAAAGGGUCAAAUAUUGAUACUUAAACAAAUAGUAUCCAUAUCUUAUAAAAGGUAUCGAUACAUUUGCACAUUAUCAAUACCAAAAUAACAUUCUUUCUCCAAAAUUCAAAUUUUGAUUAAGGUAUCGAUACCUUGGAUGUGAUAUCGAUACCUUGGAUGUGGUAUCGAUACCAAAAUUACAUUCUGUUUUGAAAUUUUUGAGUUCCAAAGCCUAGGUAACGAUACUUAUACCCUUUUAUCGAUACCGUGGCUAAAUUUUGAUAAAAAUAAAUUGAAAAUAUUGCUAAAACCCUGCAAAGUUUUGGAUUCUUUACAACACUUCAAAUCUUUUCAAAGUGCCUUAAGGCAAUUCAAAACAACUCCAAUUCAACUAAAUUAUCACAUUAUCAAACCACAAUUGCAAGCAUGCAUAUGACUAUCAAUAAUUCAUUUCAUAUAAAACCAAAAUAUUUUAAUUUAAAAUACCAAAAUAGAUAAAGUUUUAAGAAUAUGCAUUUUAGCCCUUACCACUUGGGAACACAUGUGGUCUACCUAUGUACAUGCCAUUUUAACCCAAAAUAUAUACCUACUCUUGUAGCUCUUGAAGAUGUAAUUGUAACACCCCGAAAUCUAUAAUAUGAAAAUAUUGGAAAAUCAAGAUUUUGUUCUCGAUAAAAUAAAAUAAAAAAAUAAGGAAAAUAAAGGCGAUAAAAAGGAGGAAGUUAAGUGAAUACAAGAAAAUUUAAUUAAGAGCAAAAUUGUGAGAUAUUAACUUAAGGUGAGGAUUAAAUUGCAAAAGUGAGAAAAGUUCUAUGAUCCAAGAGUAAACACUUAAAGUUUAAGAAGUUAAACUAUAAAUAUGGAAAAGUUAAAGGGCGAAUAGAGCAAAUAUAUUAAGAGUGGAAGGAUCUAGAAAGUAAAGAAAAUGGAUGAUUAAAGACUAAAAUGAACCAUUGGAAAAGGAGGAAGGGUUAGAGGUAAAAAUCUACCCAAAAAAAUGCCAAAAUGUCUAAUAAUUCAUUAUUACAGGAACUGUGUUACAAAGCAAGACAAAUAAGACUUUGCUUUUAAAAGAAACAAUCAACCAUCGUUAAUUAAGCAAAAUCAGAGCAUCUCCGAAUAUCCCAUGCAAGUUUUCACACAAAAAGGAAUGGGAUAAAUAUUAAAUUUUAAAGAAUUAAAUAAAUAUUUAUUUAUUUUUAUAUCGGAUUAAUAUAAUUAUUUGUGUAUGCAAUAUGUCAAUAUAAAAUUAUGUUAAUUUGAUAAUAUUAUUAGUGAUUUGAAUCGAAUCAAAAUUUCAUGUAUAAAAUCGUAUAAAAUCAAAAUUCAUGUAUCAUACUACACGUUAGAACGAAAUUCAUAUAUAAUUUUAAUAUUUAUCUCUAUUAAAUUUUAAAAUGUUAUUUUUAUAUUCUAUAAUUAAAUUUAAAAACAAAUCAUUUUUUUAUCAUUUAGUUUUAGAUCAGGCAACUUAGAUUUGAGUCGAUUAAUAUUCAAGUUCGAGUUCCAAUAAUGUAUAGGUCUCAUAUUUACUAUACGAGUAUAUUAUGCGUAGAGUUUGUUUAAUCCCUUUUGAAUUGGUCCAAUUUUAUUUGAUUUUUUAGUUUGUUGUGCAUUGUAUUAAUUUAAUUUUACGAUAUUAUAUUUAUCUUAUAUAUAAAGAUUUUCACGAUGUUGGUGUCAUACAUAAUCAGAUCUCAAUUCAAUUGUUAAAUUAUUAAAAGUUGUUUAUUUCAAUAAAAUAAUAAAAAUUUAAAAAUAAUUUUAUAUUUUCAUAUAAAAUUUUAAAAAGUAUUAAUAAUAUUUAACGCAUAUGUAAUAUAUUAGAAAAAUAUAUAUCUAACUUUUUAACGGGCUUAUAAAAUACGAAUGAUUAGUUAUUGAGAUAAAUCCGAUAUAUACAUUAAAUAAAAAACGUGACUUACAAAAUGCAACAACCGAUAAACAUUUUCCAUAAUAAAAAAGAAAAUAGUCAUAGGCUGACGUGAAUCAGACUACCACUAAGUAGGUCCCAAGGAACGUCACAACUCCAAACUACCGCGUCUCCCUUUCAGAGAAUAAAUAAUAGAAAAGGAAAAAAUCCUUUUCCGGUCCCUCUUUAUUUUGAUAUUAAGCAAAUUAGUUUAUCUAAAAAAAUUUAGAGUAAUUUAAUUUCUAUCAAUUUUAAAAGUGACAAUUAAAGACAAUUACUUAUGAUAUUAGUUGUAUGUAUUUUUAUUGGUAUGAUAAUAAAUUUAGCCUUUGAUGCUUAUAUAUUUUGUGUAAAUAUUGACUGAAUUUAUAAAUAUUAUAAGAUAAAUUUGUUAAGACUAAAUUGAUAAAAUAUGUAAAUGUUACAGAUUUAGUUUUAUAUGCAUAAAAUUUAAGAGCUCAAUUUGUUAUUAUACCAAUAAAAAAUGUAGAAAAAAAUUAAUGCUCUUUUUAAUUGUUUUAGUUGCUCACUUUCGAAAUUGAUUCUCACUUUUUUAUAGGGACUAACUUGCUUAAUUCCGAAACUAAGAGGGAUUGAAAAAGUCUUUUUUCCAAAAAUAUCACAAUGCGCCUACAAAAUUCGCCAUCGCCGAAAAGUAGUGUCCGAAGUCUGAAUUUUGAUCAUUGAAGCUUUUCAAACUUCAAUAGUCCAUGGCGUUGUCAAAUUCCCUUUUCUUUCCUUCUUCUUACGCCGUCGACCUCCGACGUUCCACGGUUCCCGAUUCCGGCAUCGCCCCUUUUUUCACUUCUUUUGACUCUUCUAGAUUCCGCUGCAACUUUUCUCAGUGCGGCAUUAGGCCCAAUUUCUCUGCAAGAAAGUAAGAAACCAAAACGAAAAUCUGUAUGUCCUUUUUUUUUUGUUGUUGAUUGUUUUGUGUUAAUAGAUGAUGGGUAUUUUUAUUGUUGAUGCAGACGCAUUGUUUCUGCUGCUAACAAUGGUUUCAACACGGUUAAUUCAACUUCAUUGGUAAAAGAAUCCAUCUUCGUUUACCAUCUUUUACUUAACUCACAUAUGGGUCAUGGAACUUAAAUGAACAAUCUCAGCGAUUUCUAUCAAGUGCAUAAUGAUGUUGAUCAAUUUGUUCCGAUCAAAGCCCUUUUUUUUUUAAAAAAAAAGAAAAUUUUAACUAAAAAAAAUGCUAAAGAAGGGAAAGAAGAAGAAGAAUGAAGGUUGCUUACAGUUAGCUGAUCCAUGUUUGUGCAGAUUCCAUAGGAAACUGUAGAAGAGAGGGUAAGCUACAAUUGAAAGAAAUGUGAUUUUCAAUAUAUGAGUGAUGAAUUUAAUCAAAAUUAAGGUAGAAGAAUAUUUUUUCUUCUUAAAGAUGCAUUGCAAUUGAUAGCUCCAAGGAUAUGCCUUUCUAAAUUUUGAUAUGGUUUUCAAUUGAAGUACGCUGGACAGAACUAUUAUGCAGUUUCUCUCUUGCUUUCUUAGUGUUUUUUUUUUUUUGAAGUUCUUUGGAUGUUUAUUUUUAAGGAAAUGCUUAUUUGUGAUAGUUAAGUUUGUAGAUGCUAGAUGACAUCAAUGCAAACAGGGAGGACUGGAGGAGGGUGUGAGGGGUCGGGCAGGAAAUGUUGGGAAAGAGAAAGACAUAAACCUUCUGUUGCAAAACUCCAAAAUGCAAAUUUUAACCUAAAUACUUUAAAAUUCAUAAAAAAACUAGUUAGUAAAACAGAUAUCUAAAUAUGUUAAUCCCUUGAUCAGUGUAUUCUUGUUCUGCAUCACACUGCAUAUAUAAUGAUGCCAUUAGUUUAAUUGGCUGAUUUACAUUGCAGGGGACUGGCCAAGAUAAAGAUGAUUAUAUUCCAAUGCCAAUUGUUUUGAUUGAUCAAGAUUCAGAUUCAGAAGCAACAGUUGUGCAGCUGAGUUUUGGAGAUCGUUUGGGUGCUCUCAUUGACACGGUUAAGUGGAUAUCUCAACUUAUAUUUUCUCCUUUGAAAAAAUUAUAAGCUUAUUUUUCUAGGAUUACUGGCCAAGCCUGUUGUGCGAGUGAUUUUUUCUUUGUUUUAUUUUGUAAUUGAGUCAUCUAUGUUUAGGUAAGAGGCCUACUCAGCUCAAUUUGUUUAAAGUACUAUCUGACUGCAUUUUGUGGAGCUAGAAAUCUAGGGAUAUGUUGCAUAUUAGUUGUUACAUGCAUGAAUUUAGAUCACCACUCUUAAGUAAAUUUGGAUGAUUCAGAAAAUUAUGCUAUAUGAAUGUUGGCAUUAGCAUUUCAUUGUGUUACACUAAUGAAUGGUCUUGCUUCCAAUUUAAAUAAUUCCAGAAGGUUAUAGAUCCUAGCUAUGAGGGAAAAAGUUACUUAAGGUAAUGGUAAAUCUGAUAAUUCUCUCUCUCCUUGUUUUUUUUACUCACUUUUUUUUUAAUGUUUGGGCAGAUGAGAGCAUUGAAAGAUUUGGGAUUGGAUGUUGCAAAGGGAACUGUUGCCACUGAAGGACCAGUCAAACAAACAAAAUUUUUCAUCACACGAUUGUGAGUAGUUGUUUAGAUACUGUCAUGACUCAACUUUUUCCCUCCUUCACCCCUCCUCUCUUGUGAGCAUGUGUUUUAUAACUAGUUGCUGAAUAUUUUUCAUAGUUUGACUUGUAUCUCAACUCUCUCAAGUUUUCUGGUUCACUGCUUUUAGAUGUUUUAACUGCUAUUUGGAUGCUUCUGUUCGUAAAAUGUAGUUUUCCCCUAUCACACAUGCAUAUAUAUAAGCAGAUCUGAUGCUCAAAAAGCUUAUCAAAUGGGGAAUCAUUAACUAAUAGCGUAAUUUACUUUGCCUUGUUUGCUGAUUGGUUCGUUGAUUGUUUGCCCUAUACAUACAUUCAAAAUAAACUGUAAGCAUAUCCUAAAGAAAGUUAAUUACUCAAUGGCAUAACAUGUUGCAUGGUUCUAUUAGUUUGAUGCCACAUAAGCAGGUAGUGUUAAUGGCAUUAGUGGUUGAACUAACUUGAUGCAUGUUUCGGAAGUUUAAGGGGCCAACUGCACUUUUUUUUUUUAGUUUGGGUACCAGUGUAGAGUGUACUUUUUAAUGUGGUUUGGUAACAAUAUGUCAAGAGCUAAACAUCAUUAUUUUCUCACAGCUCAUAUGUUGGUCCUUGUAAAUUUUCUUAAUAUUAAUUCAGAUUGAUCAGCAUUUGUUAAUUGAUUUGGUUAUGCUAGAGACAAUGGGCGCAAAGUUGAAGAUCCUGAUCUGUUGGAGAGAAUUCGACUCACCAUUAUAAACAAUCUUUUGAAGUACCAUCCAGUAUGUAUGCUGAAUUCAUAUUUUUAGUCUUUCUCUUCUUCCCUUCUGCACCCCCCACACCUUCUCUUCCCCUCAUAGGUGGUUGAUCUCAUGGCUUGUCAAAGUAUAGAUAUUCUGUUGUUUUGAUUUUAUGCUUUGGAUUUUGUUACUUAUCCGGCUUUGAAUUUGACUUGUUAGGAAUCUAGUGAGCGACUUGCUAUGGGUGAGGCUUUUGGAGUAAAGGCUCCAGAGAAAAAGGUGACAUUAUCUAAUGAUUAAUGGAUUGAAUAAUUAUUUUUACCCACUUAACUUGGCUCACUUUGUUUCUUUGGUGUUCUAUAUAUGCUGUAUUUAAUUUUGUGAGAAAAGCUUUUUUCUCUUUUUGCUCUAACUACUGCAUUUGUUCCUUAUAUGUGGUGAUUCCAUGACACCCUUUUAUCUCUGAUAGAGUUGUUAUAAUACAAUAAAUAUUCGCCACCAGUCGUCACUAUGCAUAUGGAUAAUGGUUCUUGAUUCUGGUAUAAUACUAAAAAGAGUUGUUGCAUGUGCUAUUUGGGAUUGGGAUCUUAUGAACUUUGAACCUAAGCCUCUAUUAAUUUGUUUAUACAGCUUGAUGUCGACAUUGCUACUCGUAUACGUGUAAAGGAAGAUGGACCCAAGAGAAGGUAACAAAAAUGGUUUUCAGCACUUCAAUUCAUAGCUCUCUACUGUUUCAAUCACACAUUACCAAUAUCUUACAAUAUUUUUAACACGAUAUGAAUCCCUCUUUUAGGUAGUGUACUUGUAGAACAUAGGUUCCUUUUGUGAUAAUCAGCUUAUGAUUCUUCCAUGUUUUACCAGCUUGCUUUCUAUAGAGACAGCAGAUCGACCUGGACUGCUGGUAGAGAUUAUCAAAAUCAUUGCUGAUAUCAACAUUGAUGUAGAAUCCGCAGAAAUUGAUACAGAGGUACCCCUUUCUUUGUUUUUAUAUGUUAUAUCUUGGUUCUGCAACUUUUUUCAGCACCUUUUGUUCUGUGAACUUCCACAGGGAUUAGUAGCGAAAGACAAGUUUCAUGUCAGCUACAGAGGAGCAGCUUUAAAUAGUUCUUUGUCUCAGGUAUUUUGUUAACGAUGACUAUAUUUUCUCAUUAUUCUUAUUGUUCUUUCUUGAUUGCCGCUACUCUGUCAUUUUGUCACUCUUAAAUUAUCUUGUACUCUGUAACCUGCAGGUGCUGGUGAAUUGCUUGCGCUAUUACCUUAGAAGGCCGGAAACCGAUAUCGAUAGUUAUUAAUACUUGAAGGUGUGCUCUCCCUAUAAAUAAAAUUGUCUGGUUCUUGUACCAAAUCUAAUAUGAGCUCAUGAUAUCUAACUAUUCUUGUUUUUGAGCUCAUGAUUUAUAGAUUCAUGUUGUACUAUGCAUUCUGGGAUUUUUCUUGAAUCUUCGCACUUGCAUGAAUUGCAUCCUAUAUGAAAGCUAAAUCUUGGUUACAUAACUAAAUGACAUGAAAUGUUAGAGUACUUCUCAUAUUGAUGUAAGGAUUAUCAGACCGUAUCCGUUAUUAGGCAGAAACUCAUCCCAGGUAUGGUUCAAAGGUGGAGCCCCAUUCUUGCAGUCAUAGUGCAGAAGGAGCAUUGUUGUUUGCGAUUGAUUAGAUGAUCUCGAGUUAUAUUUUUCUAAGUUUAAACAUCAUAUCCUCGUAUUUAUAAAUACAUGUCUAGCACAAGUGUUGAACUAGAAUAUUUUGAAGAAAACGAAAAAUUCAGAUAACAUAGAUUACAACUACUAAGAAACCUUCCUUUGCAACUAUGUACUUCACAUAUGGUGUUCAGCACUUCAUGUCAUUGAACACCCAAACAACACACAACAAAUAGAGGAGUUUACUAAAUUGAACAAUACAUACCAUCACUCUAAACUUUUUCAGACCAAAACCAAUGCAUAAACCUCAACUAAUCUAACAUGACGAAACUUUAAAGACUAUAUUUUUGGUAGAAACAGUUAAAAACCAAUUCACCAUUGGUGACAUUCUUAGAUCAUUGCACUUAACAUCUCAUUCCAAAUAUCAGGCACCCCAGGGAGGCACCAAUGGCUACAAUCGGAUGAAAACUCUCUUGGGUGUUGCCUCUGUGCUUGGUUUAAAGCCCUUCUAUAAACAGAAGGAUGCGCAUCUCUUCGAAAAGCCGACAUCAUUGUAACGUCGUGCAGAUAUACCGGGAAGCUCAUUCUUUUUAAUACCCCUUUCAGUACUACAACUUGUUCAGGAACAUGUGGAUGGCUGAAAAAUUUAAGGGGAGUUUUCUGGUUAUAGCAUCUCCAACCAUUUUGUCUGCAAUGAACAAAAACAAAGAGAUAUAAAAGAGCUUAAAGUGACAUGAAUAUAGGUAAAAGAAUCAUGAAGGCGCCUAUACUUAGAGCUAGAUAACAUUUUACUCCCUCCACUAAAAAAAUAGACAAAUUAGUUCUUGUACCUUAGAUCAAAGAAUAAAUUUGCUCUUUAAUCUAAUGUACAAAAACUUAUUUUUGUUUCUUUUUGAGUAAAUGAGUAAAAUGCAAUCUGAGUCCUAAUAAAAGGGACUUUCAUAAUACUCUCACCCUCUAAUUUACGAUUUGUUAGAUACCUGUUAUGCCUAGGGGACACGCUUCUGAAAAUAACUCUAGUUUUACGAGGGUCAAUAUUCAAAUCAAUCCAUUUUGCCCAUGUAGUCAAUCCUUUUUGGUAUGCAAUCAUUGGAUUCAUGGUUUUAUAAAGAGAUUUCCCCUCCAUGUAAUAGUCCCACCUGUAUAUAAAUUAAGAAUCAUCUACCAUUACUUUAUCAAAAUAUGUGUCGGACAAGAAUACUCGAAAAUGUAUCUUACGAACUCCAUUGAUCAGAAUGAGUCCACCAAUGUGCUGAAUCAAACACAAGAACAUCAACACCUCUCCAAUAUCUAGCAUUCUCUUCAAUCAAAUCCAAAUGCAAGACUCUCUUGUUUUCAGGUCCUUUCUUCAAUUCCACAAGCAAUGGAGCCCAAGAAAACUCGAUCGACGUCUCGAAAUCCUAUAUAAACAACAUGCUCCGUUAACACUUAAAUGCAGUCCAUUUGUUUGAGCAUCAAGCAAGCACAAAGAAAAAGCGUUAUGGUUUUCUUUUUUUAAAGUCCAUCUUACCAAGGCAUGGAAGGCCAUUGAAAGACCAUUGUAGGUCACUUUUUUAUGUCCUGUUGGUAUAACUCCUUGCACUAGGCAAACUAGACUCUCCCAUUGGUUCCUCAUUAUAGAAUCACCCACUAGCAUUAUCCUUUUCCUUCUCAUCUUCCCAAGAAACUUCAGUGCAUCAAAUCUGUAAUCAGAAUAUCAGUUCAAGAAAUUAAAGCAUUAAUCUUAAAAGAGCAUCCUUUUGACACAAAGGGUCAUAUGUCAUAGCCUUAUAGGUCAUGACAUGAGUUCAACUGUGUGCAAACUCUCUAAUUUUUAUAAUUUUGAACUCAUUAAGACUCUUAAUAGAGUGGGAGGCAAAACCCAAAUAUAUGAUAUCUCAGUCAACUAGAGCUAAAAAAAUGACAUUUAAGCAAAUUCAGUAUCUGAAUCCCAGUAUUUACCAACUCUUUUUUCUAUUCUUGGAAGUAUAUAGAAAAGUUUCUACGGUUUUGAACCCACCAAGGCUCUUGAGAGAGCCGGGAGACAAAACCCAAGUAUAUGAUAUCUCUGCCAACCCAGAACUUAAAAAUUGGCAUCUAAGCAUGUAGGAAAGUUUCUAUGGUUUUGAACUCACCAAGAUUUUGACAGAGUUGAGAGACAAAACUCAAACAUGUAAUAACUGACUCAGAGCUUAAAAAAUGGCAUCUAAGCAGAUUCAGGAUUCGAAUCCUGGCAUCUGCAAUCCUUUUGUUCUAUUCUUGGAAAGUAUGUACGUACCUUGGAAGAGAACAACCAUUUGGCUUCCAUUUCCACUUUUCAUAGCCAGAAUCUGGCCUUCCAUUUCUUUGACAGGUAACAGCAGUACUAAGAUAUGGGCAGUUAGAAUCAUACAAAGGAUAUGAUUGAUCAUAAACCCAUUUACCAACUGAGAAAUCACAUCUCGUAGGCCGAUCCUCACGCCUGCCUUGCACCAUUAUGACUCCAUUGUCUUCGUUGUUGAGCCAAGAAGACGAUGACUUGCCAUGAAAGAAGCAAAUGAACGAGGUGAUGAUGAAGACGAAGGUGAAAUGUGGAUAAUUAGCCAUUGAAGGGGGAAAUGAGGGAAGGGAGUGUAAAAUUCACAGCAUAGAAGGCAGCAUUUUCAAGUGCUCUUAAAGUUGUCAACCAUAGCUUUUCUUUUUUCUUUCUUUCAUUGAGGCAUGAAUGGCGGUAAUUAAUUAUGAGUGGACCAUAUACAUGUUCAUGGAAAGUAAAAGUGCUUUCCUUUUCACUCAUUACCGUUUCUUCCUCCUUCCUACAGCUAUUGGUAGGUGAUUCAAUUUAACAUUACUGUUCUUUUCAAUGGGGGUUGAAUUCUAGUUUAGUUGACAUUAAUAUUGUUAUCAGUCCAGUAAGAUAUAACUUUAAAUAUGUAAAAAUGUAUUUAUUUUAUAUAUUUUUAUAAUUAAAUUUAAAUUUAAAUUUUUUUAUUAUUUAAAUUGAAUUCAGACUGAAUUAACUUGAAGUAUGAAAAUUUUUAUUCAAAUUUAAUUUUAAUUGGACUGAACUUAUCGGACCAAAUGAGGUACCCAACAAUUUCUUCCUAUUUCUUAUCUAUAAUUUUUAUUCCUUUCUAGUACUUUUUCCAUUGGUAUAAUUUAAGUAUCAUAAUUCUUUAUAAAACAAUAAAAGUAGUCUUUAAUUUUCAUCUAUUUCUACUUUUUCUAGGACUUCCCUUAAAUUGUGCUUAAAAUUUUUAAUUGUUGGAUUUUUUAUUGAAAACUUUAUUCGUAACGUUACAUAUUUUAGUAUUAUUAUAAUUUCAUCGCAUGAGAAAUUAAACGUAUGAGUCUCGAGUCUUCAUCGUUUAAUCAUAAUAGAUAUGGAUGUCGAUAUGAAAAAUAACUUUUUUUCUAAAUUGGUUAGUGUGAGAGAAUCAACUUGUGUUAAGUGAGGAGUUAUUUUGUCUUCAAGCAGAUUUAUUCCCAUUUUACUGUGACCUCGAGUCAUAAGAGAAUACUCUAGUGUUGUUGCAUUUAGAGCAACAUGUCCUUGUUCAGAUCUCAAUAAGCGGGUAGCCAUUACAAUAUGAUUGAAAACUAGAAUUUAGUGGAGGAAUGUUUUGUGUUUUAUGUGAAAAACUAAAAAGUUAGAUUAUUAUUUAUAAGUUUUAGAAUUAGGGUUUUUAAGAUAACCUCGACACGUAUGGGUAGGGAUGUCAAUUAAAAAUUUCUUUUUCCCUUCAAAUAAUUAGUUAUAGAUUAUGAUCUAUUUUUUAAAAUACUAUUCACAGGUAUUAGAAGAUUAAAUUAAUUGUUACAAUUUAAAAUUUAAGUAUUUUAAAAAGAACUCGAUAUUGGUUGAUGUCAAACGGCACAAUAAACAUAAUUAAAAUCGAUAUCCGCAAAUAUCGAGGUAUCCUUUAAGAAAACAUAUUCUAAAAAAAGCAUAUCAUAAUAAAUAAGGAUAACAAUAAAUUUUGCUCUCAGUAUUUACAUUUUUUGUCAAUUUAGCCGUUAUUAUUUUUUAAGUUAAAUUUUGCCAUUAAUCUUUCAAAAAUAGUUGAAUUACUUUUUUUAAUAAAAAUGUUGACUAAAACAUUAAUUUUUUUAAUACUAUUGGCGUGGCAACCACGUGACAGUCCAUAUGUACAUAAUGUUGACUUGACAUUAUUUAUCUUAUAUGUCAUUUCAAUAAAUCAUUUUAAAAAAUAAAAUAAAAAUUGAAAAAUAUAAAAUGUUCAUACUUUUUUUUUAAAAAAAAAAGCAUAAAGUACACAUGGAUUGUCAUGUGAGUUACCAUGUUUGAAAAAAUUAAUGUUUAAUCAAUAUUUUUUUGAAAAAUUAAUGAUCAAAUUCGACUCUUUUUAAAAUAUUCGGCGAAAUAUAACUAAAAAAAAAUCAUUUUAACAAAAAAAAAAUUGACCAGUAAAUUUACCAUAAAUAAAAAAAUUACAAUACCUAAGUAAAAUACCUGAAUUUAAGUGCUUUUACAGAAUUGUUUGCUUUGUAGCACACUUGGAAUGUCAAAAACUCAAAAAAGAGAAAGCGAAAAAGAACAUCAUAAAUCAUAAUAAUAUUUCAGGGCAAAUGCAAACAAAGCAUUCAUCACACUCACACCUACAACUAUUAUGGCUAUCAAAUUUUCACCUUUUUCUUUUAAUUUUUCAGUCAAAAGUUGAACUAAUCUUAUAGAAAGAGAUACUUGUGUUUAUGGAAGUUUCCAUUAAAAUACUCUUUCUAAUAAUUAGAAUAGAGGGCGGGUUUUAUGGAUUAAACUCAAAUUCUCAUAUUAUAUAAUAUAAUAAAUUUAUCACUAAGAUAAAAGAUUGUUAGUUGCCUCAACAACAUGAUAAAUAAUUAUAAGGUUUAAAAUAAAUUUUAUUAUAAUUAGUCUGUGUGAUUAAUAGAAGGAUAAAGUGGUGGUUUGGAUGGUGGUUCACCUUGGGCCAAGGCGAAGAGUCAAUGGAAGUUGAUUGAAUAUCAAUUUUUAUUAUAAGAUCAUUUUCCAAUUUUUAUUUCAAGAUUUUUUAGCAUCUUUAAUUAAUCUUUUCUAUUUGUGUUGAAUGGAGUCUAUAUCAAUAUACUUCUAAUGUCGAAUCAGGAUCAACUAGGACAGAAAUAAAGCAAUCUUCUCCGGCGGUAGAUCUUUCUCGAAGUAGGUUUGAGCAAAAAAAUUGAGAUUUUAAUUCUGCCAAUGUACGUAAAUUUUUACUAUUACUAAGAGAUAAACAUGUAGGUAUCACCAUCUGAGAUUUUAAUUCUGCCAAUAUAUGAUUUUAAGACUGGAUCUCAUGCUAAUGCAUGUCUAAGUGAGCUUAUUAUUUGGAUUAGAGAACCAUUGCUCUAACAAAACACCAAGAGAGGUUGGGAGAACCAAUUUUCAGAACAAACUUUUUAAUAAUUUUUUAGAAUUAUUGUUGAAAAUGUUGUAAAAGUAUCGAAUUGAAUGUUUUUAACUAUAGUUUAGGGAUCAAAUUAGAUAUCGAUCUUUAAAUUAACAUGCUACCUCACUUUUUUGUUAAAAUUGUAAUGACAAUUAACAUACAAGCAAUCAAAACAUUAUAAAUCAAUAACAUUAGUGAUUAAAAUAUAACUAUUCAUAAUUCAACAGUAAAAUAAGAUAUUUCACGGAAGUUUAAUGACCAUAAACUAAAUAUUUUGGUUGACUUGAGGGGUUAAACAUAAGUGUAUAGGUAUAUAUCAGUUCUAAUGGUAACAAAUUAUAAUAUAUUUAAUAAGUUAAUUUAAUAUUUAUUUUUAUAAAAAUGUAAUUAAAAUAUUUUAAUAUAUAAUUUAAAAUAUUUGAGGUAUAAUUUCGAUAGAAAAAUAACAUAAAUAAUUUCUAUGCCAUUUAUAAUAUACUAAUAUGGUUUUUGACCCACUUUCUGUUGAGUAAAAUUUUAAAUGUUACAAUAUGCUCUUGGUGCUUUUAUUUUCAAAAGAGUAGGAAAAAAAAGUGAAGAUUUCAUGUCCAUAAAACAACACAUACAUUAAAGCAAGUUUGGAUUGAUUAUACAUCAGCGAAAUUUAAGUAAAAUCAUCUAGAAAACAAACUUCUACCAACCCGUAGUGGUUUGCACCAAAGUGUACUCCACUAAUAGCGUUCUCUUUUUCCCAAUUGAAAAGUACUCAGGAUAUGGCGUGGCUCUACUCUCAAGUCCUACACACUCUACCACUACCAUGCUCCAUAUCGAAACAAAUGUUCGCAAGUAAUACGNNNNN